rnacentral:lncRNA from 1 species
AAGAAACUAAGUGGGUUGGUCUUAAGGCAAAGGAUCUAGAAAACUCAGGGUUUAAACUCUGGUAUUCGGGCAUAAAUAGAACGAGAAACGGUGUUGGCAUCAUCGUGGACAAGACCUUGACACAAGAUGUUGUAGAUGUCAAGAGGGUAGGAGAUAGAAUCAUGGCAAUCAAGAUUGUAAUAGGACAAGAACUCAUCAAUGUGAUUAGUGCGUACGCACCUCAAGUAGGGUUGGAUACGAGUUCGAAGGAGAAAUUUUGGGAAGACCUUGGAGACUUGGUGCACGGAAUUGCUCAGACGGAGAAGUUAUUUAUAGGAGAAGAUUUAAAUGGACACGUGGGCAAGGAGAUAGGCAACUAUGGAUGUUUUCAUGGUGGCCAUGGUUUUGGGGAGAGAAAUGAGGAUGGGGAAGCUAUCUUGGAUUUUGCAAUGGCAUAUGAUCUAUUCUUAGCCAAUACCUUCUUUAAGAAGAGAGAAGAACAUGUGAUCACCUACAAGAGUAGGUCGUCAAAAACACAAAUAGAUUUUCUUCUAAUGAGGAAAGGGGAUCGUAUAACUUGUAAGGAUUGCAAAGUUAUACUGGGAGAGAGCUUGGCUAAUCAACGUCGCUUGUUGGUGAUGGAUGUACAUAUCAAAAGAGUGAGAAAAAAGAACAUGACUUGGAAGUGCCUAAGGACUAGUUGGUGGAACCUAAAAGGAGAAAAACAAGUCAUUUUCAAAGAGAAAGUAAUCACCCAGUGUGUGUGGGAUAGAGAGGGGGAAGCUAGCCAAAGGUGGGAUUCCAUGGCUAGUUGUAUUCGAAAAGUAGCAAAAGAGGUAUUAGGAGAGUCCAAGGGCUUUGCUCCACACCAAAAGGAAUCUUGGUGGUGAAAUGAAGAGGUACAAACAAAGGUGAAGGCUAAGAAGGAAUGUUGUAAAGCCUUAUACAAGGAUAGGACCGAUGAAAAUGGUGAAAGGUAUAGAAGAGUGAAGCAAGAGGCGAAGAAAGCUGUGAGAGAAGCCAAGUUAGUGGCUUAUGAUGAUAUGUAUAAGCGACUAGAUACCAAAGAAGGAGAGUUGAAUAUCUAUAAACUAGCUAGAGUAAGGGAAAAGAAGACAAGGGACCUAAACCAAGUGAGGUGCAUCAAGGAUGAGGAUGGAAAGGUUCUUACUACAGAGAACGCGGUCAAAGACAGAUGGAGAGGUUAUUUUCAUAAUCUUUUCAAUGAAGGACAUGAAGGGAGUACUUCUUUAGGGGAGUUGAGUAACUCAGAAGAGUAGAAACUACUCCUUUUAUCGUUGAAUCAGGAAGGAAGAAGUGGUUGUAGCUUUGAAGAAGAUGAAGCAUAGAAAAGCAGUGGGCCCAGAUGAUAUAUCGAUCGAAGUGUGGAAAGUCUUGGGAGAGACAGGUAUAGUAUGGCUCACUGACCUUUUCAAUAGGAUUUUGAAAACGAAGAAGAUGCCAAAUGAGGAGCGAAAUAGCACUUUGGUGUCUAUCUACAAGAAUAAGGGCGACGUACAAAAUUGCAUGAACUAUAGGGGUAUUAAGCUAAUGAGUCAUACAAUGAAGCUCUGGGAGAGAGUCAUUGAGCAUAGAUUGAGGCAAGAGACACGGGUUUUGGACAACCAAUUCGGGUUCAUGCUAGGAUGCUCAACCAUGGAGGCAAUCUAUCUCUUACGAAGAUUGAGGGAAAUAUAUAGAGAGGGGAAAAAGGAUUUACACAUGGCCUUUAUAGAUUUGGAAAAAACGUAUGAUAGGGUCCUAAGAGACAUUCUCUGGAGGAUUUUGGAGAAGAAAAGAGUACGAGUAGCAUAUAUCGAAGCUAUAAAGGAUAUGUAUGAAGGAGCAAAGACUGCCGCAAGAACUCAUGAAGGACAAACCGAAAGCUUCCCCAUAACUGUAGGAUUACAUCAAGGCUCAUCCUUAAGUCUUUACCUUUUUGCGUUGGUAAUGGAUGAGUUAACAGGACAUAUUCAAGAUGAUAUUCCUUAGUGUAUGCUUUUCGCAGAUGAUAUAGUGUUGAUAGAUGAAACUCAGGAAGAGGUAAAUGUGAAGCUUAACCUUUGGAGAGAAGUGUUGGAAUCUAAAGGUCUUCGCCUAAGCCGAUCAAAGACAGAAUAUAUGGAGUGCAAGUUCAGUGCAAAUGGAGGCCAAAAUGAGUUAGGGGUGAGGAUCGGAGAUCAGGAAAUACCAAAGAGCGACUACUUUCACUACCUAGGAUCUAUCUUGCAAAAGAACGGAGAAUUAGAUGGAGAUCUUAACCAUAAAAUACAAGCUGGAUGGAUGAAGUGGAAGAGUGCAUCCAACAUGUUGUGUGACCGUCGUAUGCCACUGAAGCUCAAGGGAAAAUUUUAUAGGACGACAAUAAGGCCGGCGAUGCUGUAUGGCACAGAAUGUUGGGCGGUGAAGCAUCAACGCGUACACAAAAUGGGUGUAGCGGAGAUGAGGAAACUUCGUUGGAUGUGUGGGCACACGAGAAAGGAUAAGAUUAGGAAUGAGGAUAUCCGAGGUAAAGUAGGAGUAGCCGAAAUUGUAGGAAAGCUGAGAGAAAAUCGGUUACGGUGGUUUGGACAUGUGCAAAGAAGGCCUACUGACGCUCCGGUUAGAAGAUGCGACUACGGGAUAGAGGUUCAGGGCCGAAGGGGUAGAGGAAGACCUAGGAAAACUUUGGAAGAGACUCUAAGAAAAGACUGAGUACUUGGAUCUAACGGAUGACAUGACACAGGACCGAGCACAAUGGCGUUCUAAGAUUCAUAUAGCCGACCCCACUCAGUGACUUGGAUUUUUCAAGUCUUCAACCGAGAAGUUUUCCUCACUCGAGAAAUUAAGGGAACACUACCUCAACCUACAUGUUUCACUCACAAAGCUUCAACAUACAAGCUUCAACAAAAGAAAAAUUCAAAGAACUUAGUGAAGAAGGCUUUGGUGUAUUUAAUACAAUACAUUGAAAUGAAGCAAAGCUUAUUUAUUGAUAUCUCCGAUAAGUUACAAAUAUGUACAUAUACAUUAGUCAAAAUAAACAAACAAGAGGGGGCAUUCAUAAAGGUUGCUUAGGAGAAGUCUCAGCAGUCGGUAGAGCCCCAGAAAGAGAAGACACCGGAGGGUGAUCACUCGGAGCCUCAGUACUGGACAGAACCCUAGAAGGAAAAGGCAUCGGAGGCUGAUCAUUUGGAGCUUCAUUAGGCGGUACAGCCCCAGAAGACGAAGGCAAUAAAUGCCUUUGGAACAAACCCACAAACCUCUGAUGAUCAAGUAAAAUCUGACCAUCAGAUUCCUUCACCUGGUCAAGCUUCCUCUUCAUGUUUGUAGCAUAGUCAUGUGCGAGCCUGUGCAACUGUUUAUUCUCAUGCUUGAGCCCUCUAAUCUCUUGCUUGAGACUCAUCACUUUAGCCGCCAAUGAUUCAACUUGGCGGGUUCGAGCAAAUAGGCGUUGGGCCAUAUUCGUCACAGAACUUGCACACUGAACACUCAGAGCCAGAGAAUCCUUAACAGCCAACUCAUCAGACCGUUUGGAAAGAAGUCUGUUAUCUUUGGGAGUGAGAAUGUUCCUGGCCAUCACCGCAUCGGUCAUAUCAUUCUUCAUCACGAAAUCCCCAACGGUAAGAGGACCAGUAGGGGAUAAGAAGGAGGGCACCUUAUGUUGUCUGGAGAAGGCGCAGCUGCCUCUUCACCAAGGUUCAAGUCAAAACGACUGUCGGAAGGGUCAGACAUUUUCAAAGGUGUUGAAGAGAGAAGAGGUCAAACAAAUCAAGAUCUUAGAAGUGCAACAAGGGAGCUUCUGGUGGAGAUUCAAGUGUGCUUUGGAACUUAAUGCCAGCCUCUAUAAAAAUCUGCACUCGACGGAGUUUCAGAAAUCGAAGAGGCACCUGCUCAGAAAUCGAAGAGGUGUUUGCUUUCUCAAAAGCUGGGCUGCUCAGAGACCACGAGGGCCAAUCUCAAAGAUCGAAGAGGCGUUUGCUUUCUCAAAAGCUGGGCUGCUCAAAGACCACGAGGGCCGAUCUUAAAAAUCGAAGAGGCGCUUGCUUUCUCAAAAGCUGGGCUGCUUAGAGACCACGAGGGCCGAUCUCAGAAAUCGAAGAGACACCUGCUUUCUCAGCCUUGUCAGCACCUGUCACAUGCACUCAGCCUUGCUGAAAUUACGGGCAAUUUGUCGAAAAUUUCUGGUGAAGUAGAAAGCACGUGAAUCUUACUGUUCAAUAAUCCACUUUCCACACGCAACAUCAGCUCAUGGGUACCACAGAUAACUUUGCCAAAGAUCUCUGACAAAGUUUAGACACGUGAAGCUUGCAGCUCCCACUACAUCGCUAUGACCAAGAAGGGUAAAAGAACAGCAAAGAAACAGCACUAACAAAGUUUAGACACAUAAAUUUUGAAGGUUUAGCUACCAUAUUAUUACCCAUAAGGGUAAAGGAACAGCACCAUUGCUGGAUAAUUGGAAAGUCCCUGUGUGUCAACCUCUGUGCUCCGUGGCAAGGUAGACUAGCAAAAAUGUACAACCUGUACUCACAUUCGAGAAAACACUCCCAACAAGAUUGCUUGCUCCAAAAUCGAAGAGGCACUGCCCUCUGAAUCUCGAGAGCCAGACUCCUAUCAGGAUUACUUUCUCAAAAAUCGAAGAGACACCGCUCCUCGAAUUUCAAGAGCCAGACUCUCAGCAGGAUUGCUUUCUCAAAAAUCGAAGAGGCACCGUUCUCCGAAUCUCGAGAGCCAGAUCCCCGACAGGAUCGCUUGUUCGAAAACCAAAGAGGCAUCGCUUUAUCAACUUUGAGAGCCAGAUCUCCUUAGAUAAAGCUUGUCUGUAAUCUUCACAUGCAACAUCAGCUUUCCAGAUACCACAGACCACUUUUUCAAAGUGCUAUGACAGAGUUAAAACACGUGAAGCUGGCAGCUCCCACUACAGUGCUAUGACCAAGAAGGGUAAAGGAAUAACAUUACUACUUGUUGUUGGGGAGACUCCUAUAUAUGUCAACCUCCAUCCUCAACGGACAGGCAGACCUGCAAAAAUGCUCAACCCUUCCUUAUAUCUGAGAGGGCACUCCUAACGAAACCUCUCGAAAUACUCAGCUUUCUUUCCCCCCGAUAAUACCUCUGCAAACAAGCUACACCAGAGUAAGAAUAUCUCAUAUCAUCAGGGUUAAAAGCAAGAGUAUCCCAUAUCAUGCUUUUUCCCUAUCUUUUCCUUUGGCCUUGUUCUGACCUACAAGACAAGGAGAAGGAGAGCAAUCAGUCAGCACUUGGAAUCAAGCUUCCAGUCAUGAACUGACUGCCUGGAACCCCUUACCUGAUUACUUACCUGGCAUUGCUCUCGAGUACUCAUCUUCAACAUCUUAUGCUUCCAGAGAAGAUACCACAUCUGCCUGAGGAACAGAUAGGGCAAGUGAGAAGGAUACAAGGAAACAUGUGGAGACAAGCGUAACAGAACACGUGCCGAUACUUCCACUACUUUGUCAACAGUAAAAGUAUCCCAUAUCAGCAGGGUCGAACGUACUCUAGAUUUGAUGGACUUGUUUUGACCCUAAAAUUCUUCAGUCGGCCUUAUACUCUGGAGGUAACCAGAAAACCCUCUAGCCCAGUUCAAAAAUAAGCUUGUGGAAAGUUACUUAUUCAAAAGCAAAGUAUCUCAUAUCAUCUCAUCUCCUUUUCUUCUCUUUAUCCUUCAUGCUGCCUGUAAGAUAAGGAGAAUGAGAACAACCAGCCGGAACUCAAAAUCAAACUUCUGAUCUGGGACUGAUUGCUUGGAGCUCUGAUUGCUUACCUUGUCUGUCACCUCUUUCAACAGAUCCCCUAGCUCGGCGACUUGGGAGACUCCUACUACAUGGUUUGUAUCGCGCUUGACCAAGCCUGAAACUACAAGUAAGCUUCAAGUGAAAUUGAUACAUUACCUUGUGCAUCUCCAUCAGUUAAAGAUACCACCCCUGGACGGAGGAAGAGUACUUCUAGAGAAGAUGCCACAUCUACCUAUGAGACAGAUAAGGCAAGUGAAGACGAUACCACACUUCAGUACUUAGAAGUUUCGUGAUUACUCAGCGGCUUGGAUCUUGCAAGUCCCCAACCGAGGAGCUUCCCUUCUAACCAGGAGGCCAAUCACAAAGCGACACGUGUCGACAUUAGAAGCCAAUCAUAGCGCGACAUGUGUCAACAUCAGAAGCCAAUCACAACACGACACGUGUCAAUGUCAGAACAAGGCUAGAAACUCUCUUCUAUAAAAGGAGAUCAUUUUCCCAAAAUAUUUCCUAAUGCCAUUUGUACUAAAUCAUUCACUUGUACCCACUAAAGGAGAGCUUGAACCUAUGUACUUGAAUAAACCCUUCAUAAUUAAUGAGAACUCCUCUACUCCGUGGACGUAGCCAAUCUGGGUGAACCACGUACAUCUUGUGUUUGCUCUCUUGUCUCUAUCCUUUUACAUACUUAUCCACACUAAUGACCGGAGCAAUCUAGCGAAGGUCACAAACUUAAUACUUUCUGUUGUACCAAAGUCCUCACUGAUUUUGUGCAUCAACAAUCCUUAAGUUGUUACCUUUUUGCAUUGGUAAUGGAUGAGUUAACAGGACAUAUUCAAGAUGUUAUUCCUUGGUGUAUGCUUUACGCAGAAGAUAUAGGGUUGAUAGAUGAAACUCAGGAAGGGGUAAAUGCGAAGCUUAACCUUUGGAGAGAAGUGUUGGAAUCUAUAGGUCUUCACCUAAGUCGAUCAAAGAUAGAAUAUAUGGAAUACAAGCGGGAUGGAUGAAGUGGAAGAGUGCAUCCGGCGUGUUAUAUGAUUGUCGUAUGCCAUUGAAGCUCAAGGGAAAAUUUUAUAGGAUGGUAAUAAGGUCAGCGAUGAUGUAUGGCAUAGAAUGUUAGGCGGUGAAGCAUCAACACGUACACAAAAUGGGUGUAGCGAAGAUGAGGAUGCUUCGUUGGAGGUGUGGGCUCACGAGAAAGGAUAAGAUUAGGAAUGAGUGGGUUGGACAUGUGCAAAGAAGGCCUACUGACGCUCCAGUUUGAAGAUAUGACUACGGGACAGAGGUUCAGGGCCGAAGGGGUAGAGGAAGACCUAGGAAAACUUUGGAAAAGACCUUAAGAAAAGACUUAGAGUACUUGGAUCUAACGGAGAACAUGACACAAAACCGAGCGCAAUGGCAUUCUAGGAUUCACAUAGCCGACCCCACUUAGUGGGAAAAGGCUUUGUUGUUGUUGUUGUUGUUGUAAUGAGCUCCUCCACCAUAAUCUUUCCAAACAACACGGGACUUUGAGUAUUAGUUAUCUUCUUCAUCAUUUCCAGUUCCAAAUUCUUCUGGUUAGAACAUAAAUGCUAUGGCAGCACAUUUAUUGGUUCUUACCCAACUGGAGAUGCUUGGAUAGUUGAUACCGACAUCACCACUCUCAAUCAUGCUACAACAUUUGAAGGGUCUAACAUGAUCAAAAUUGGAAAUGGUCAAGGUUAAAAUAUUGAGCAUAUUGGAUCUACCACUCUUACCACUCCUACACAAUCUCUGAAAUUACAUAAAUUUCUUCAUGUUCCUCAUAUUGCUGAAGGUCUUUUAUCUGUAAAACAAUUAUGCAAAGAUAACAGAUGUUGGUUUAUCUGUAAUGAUAUUUGGUUUUUUGUGCAGGCCAAGGUAACAAAGGAGAUCAUUUACAGAGGAAAGAGUAGGCCUAAUGAGUUGUUUCAGAUUCCUGUGUUCAAACCAAUGUCUUCUUCAAGUCAGUUUUCAACUUCAACACAUCUUGGAUAGCUAAUAAAGUCAUCUAUUUGGCAUCAGCGGUUGGGACAUCCUACAAAUGAAGUAAUGUUAUCUAUGUUACAUGAGUCUAAGAUUUCUCAAGUGUUAAAUGAUACGUAUACAAUGUGUACAGAUUGUAUUCAUGGCAAAAUGGCAAGAUUACCUUUUUCUUAUAAUUCAAAUAGGCGUCUGUUUCCUUUUGAAAAGAUCCACUCAUAUGCUUAGGGUUGUUCUCCUGUCAAAAUUAGUGAAGGCCAUAUAUAUUAUGUAACAUUUGUAGAUGAUUGUACUAAAUUUGUGUGGAUUUUACUACUCUUCAAUAAAUCAGAUGUGUUCAGUAUUUUUGUGAAGUUUCAUGCUUGGUUCUAGCAUUAAAAUCAUUCUAUCUGAUGGGGGUGGUGAGUUUAUGACCCAAGCAAUUUUAUAACCUUAUUACACUUAAGGGUAUGGUACAUAGGAUAUCUUGUCCUUAUACAUCUCAACAAAAUGGAUUUGUUGAGAGAAGGCACAAACACAUAGUGGAGACAACUAUCACUUUGAUAAAUGCAGCAAGAUUGUCUCAGGUGUUUGGUUAUGUGCUUGUGCUCAUGUUGUCUACUUAAUUAAUUGAAUAUCUUGUCCUUCACUUCAUAUGAAUUCUCCUUACUUUAUGCUGCAUCACAAACAUCCAGAAUUGGAUCAUUUGAGAAUAUUUGGGUUAGCUGUUUAUCCAUAUCUCAGACCAUAUAAUCAGAACAAGUUACAACCAAGAUCUGCAUUAUGUGUUUUUCUGGGAUAUGCUAUUGAUUAUAAAGGAAUUAUUUGCUAUCAUUUGUGGUCAAAGAAGUUGAUACUCUCUAGACAUGUGGUUUAUGAUAAAACUUUGUUUCCUGCUUAAUUACCUACAUCAUCCUCAUCUCAGACAUCUAUACAGUUCAUAUCUCAAAGGUCACCACCAGUUAUUGUCCCAAUUCCCAUAUUUGGUACAACUGCAGUCCCCAUAAAUUCAGUGCCUACUUCAUCUUCCAAUAUUGAUUUACCAGAGUAUUCUUUAUCAGAGGUAUCAACAAAUGCUGGCUUAUCCUUUGGUUUUGAACAUUCACAGGAAUCUGAAACAUCUACUUCAACUACUCAUUCCACUGCUACUCCUCAAGAUCAUCUUCCUUUGUUACAUGUCCUCCAUCCAUCCUAACUUCAAGUAAUUCUUCCUCCUUCAAGUUCAUCCAUUAAAACUAGGCUUAAAACUGGUACUAUUACUAGGAAGGAUUAAUCUGCAUUUCUUGUUGCUGUCCCAAAACUUCAAUCUUUGCAUAUCGAUGAAGAUUUUACAACUUUUUCUGGUUAUACUUUUAUGGAUGAUAUCGUUGAUGUGGAUGAGCCUAAAACUUUUAGAAGUGUUAGCUCUCAUUCUCAAUGGCAAAAAGCCAUGCAAAAGGAGUAUGAUGCAUUAUAGACACAAGGAACUUGGUUUUAGUUCAUCCACUUGAAAACAGGUCCAUUGUUGUUUGUAAAUGGAUUUACAAAAUCAAAAGGAAUAGAGAUGGUACUGUUGCCAGAUAUAAAGCUCACUUAGUGGCUCAAGGCUUUACUCAAGAGCAUGGUGUUGAUUAUUCUGAAACAUUCAGCCUAGUAGUUAGGCAUUCUACAGUCAGGCUUAUCCUAGCUCUAGCUACAAACUGCAAUUGGAAGCUAAGGCAUUAAACAUUAAAAAUGCAUUUUGUCAUGGAGAUUUACACGAGGAGGUUUAUAUGCAUCAACUGCAGGGGUUUAUGAAUUCUAAAUAUCCCUCUCAUGUUUGCAGACUUGUCAAAUCUCUAUAUGGGCUUAAACAAGCUCCAAAAGCAUGGCAUUCUAAAUUUACAGAAGUUCUUCCUAUCUUGGGUUUUAUAGCCUCACAAUUUGAUACUAGCCUCUUUGUGAAGCAUGAUGGUAUACAUGUGGUCAUUCUACUUUUAUAUAUAGAUGGCAUUAUUCUUACAGGCUUUAGUUCUUCUCAAGUUCAAGAUGUGGUAACUAAAACUUGGGGAAUUAUUUGAACUUAAAGACAUGGGACAACUCACUUAUUUUCUUGGUCUUCAAAUCUAGUAUAAGGAUAAUGUUGAUUUGUUUGUCAAAGUAAAUAUGCGAAGGCGUUACUGAUUAAGGCUGGAAUGAAGCAUUGUAAGCCCUCUUUUAUAUGCUCAGAACCUCACACACAACUACUUAUUUCAGAAGCACACCUCUUUCAGAUCGUACUCUUUAUAGAAGUCUUGUGGGAGCUUUGUAGUAUCUUACCUUUACCAAACCCGUAUAGCUUAUGCUGUCGUGAUUUGCUAAUUUAUACAUCAACCCACUGAUUCUCAUUAUUUUUUGGUCAAACGAAUACUGUGAUAUAUACAGGGUACAUUACAAUGUGGUUUAACAUACAAGAGCUUCACUGAUCACACCAUUUCAGCCUUCUCUGAUUUGGACUGGGCAACUGAUAUCAACUCACAGGUUCAUUACUGGAUAUGUGGUCUAUUUAGGUUUAAAUCAUGUGUCAUGGCAAUCUAAAAAGCAGGCUUCUGUUUCCAGAAGUUCCAUUGAGGCCGAGUACAAAGCAUUAGCCUACUGUGCAGCCAAUGUUUGGUGGCUUAGAUCAUUACUGAAUGGCUUACAUGUGUUUCUGCCUUCUCCUCCCAUUCCACAUUGUGAUAAUUUUUCUGCUUUGGCAUUAACUUCCAAUCCUACGUAUCAUUCUUGUAUCAAACAUGUUGAUAGACGAUCAUUUGUGAUGCAAAAAGUUCAAAAAGGUGACUUGAUUAUUCAGUACAUUCCCACCAAGAAGCAGGUUGCAGACAUACUGACUAAGAGUUUUCAGUCCUUCAUUUGUUCAUCAUUGUUACAAUCUUAACCUUGUGUCAGUUAUACAAUGGCUAAGAUGAUUGCAAAGAUCAAAUAGAGGCUAAUGACAGUAAAUAUCAAAGGGUAGUUAAGGUGCCAUGUGUUAGUUAUACAAUGGCUAAGAUGAUUGUAUAGUUGCUUAAUAGUUAAGAAGGCAAUUACUAAAUGUAGUAGGCUAUAAAUAGUAGAAUGUAGCAUCUUUUCUGGUAAGAAACAUUUACAGAAAUAAGAAAUAUCCUUUCAUCUUAUCUCUCUACAUUUCUCUCUUCUUCUUCAAAUCUUUUCUACUGAAAAACCUAUAUUUCAUUUGUGUUAAUAGAGAAGGGGAUUAAGGUUACUUUGGAGAUGGAGAGGGUGGAUGGUUUGGCGAGCUCUUUGCGUAUUCCAAUGGCGGUUCUUCUUAUCAUUUAUGCCAUUUUUGGGUUUUAGGAUGAGCAUAAUUUCUGGGUUUAAGAGUCUUUCUACAUUACAGAUAGGGUGAACUGUGAAUCGUUGCAAAGUAUUUCACUCAUGAGGCCUGCUUUUUUCUCUUCUUUUCUUUCUAUUAUUUUCUAUUUAAAUAAUUUUAAUUUGCAUGUAAUAUUUAAUUAAUUUUGUGAGACCUAGGUAAGGUUUGGUACUGAGGUGAUUUUUAAAAAAAUGGGUAUUUAAAAAAAUUGGGAGAGUUUUUGAUGUUCAGUAAACAUUUUAAACCAGCUUUAUUUCAAGGGUUUAGAUGAAAAAAAGACAGAAACCUGAAGCUGCAAAAAGCAGAUUCAGAAAAACAGCUUAUUGUGAAAAACACGGGUGAACCGUAAUUUGCUAAUGAAUUUUUCAAUUUGCCAACGUUGCCCUUCUUUCUCCUGCCUUCCUCACACUUUCAGACUCUCUCGCAUGCCGUCUUCAAGCUUCCACCAAAAACCCUAGCGAUUCUAGUUCCUUUUCGACGAACCCAAAUUGAAAUCAAGAUCUGUUAAGCCAUAAUCGCAGCAAUCUCACGGCAUCGCGAGCUUCGUUCGCUGAACUGUGAGUAUAUUUCUUGCUCUUUGCGUUAAAUUUAACCACUUCGAGAGCUCGAAAAAUCUCGAUCUGGUUCAUCGGAGGAGGUUUUAAAUCGGUGCGGUUGUCUUCUCUGGGAUCAAGUGUGGAAUUAGGACACGUGGAUCGUGGAUCGAGGCGUGGGUCUGAGGUUUGGGCUUCGGAGCUCGUCUGAUAGAGCGGUCAUGGUGGUUUUCCUCCGUCUUCCUCCAUAUUUCCAUGGGCUUUGUUCCUGGUUUUGUCUGGAAGACUGGAACUGUUAAUCAAUAGCAUGAUAGAAUAAAAAUAAUAAAAUGAAGGGAAAAGUAAAGGCCAAAGUUAUUUAGAAUAUUGUUAUUCACACAUUCAUUUUUACUUUUCACACGUCUUUUUCAAAUUUCAGCAAUCGGAUCGAAUGAAUUGAAGAAGAUUAAUAACCAAAUGUUAAGAAUAUUGUACUAAUGAAUCCUAUCUAUUCAGUCUAAAAUAUUUCAAUUGAAGUAGUUUGUCAUAAAGUUUAUAAAUAUUUUUCUUUUAAAAAUAAAGUAUAUUUAGUAAUUCACCUUUGUUUGUUAAGAAAAUUAAAUUAAUAGCAUAUCUAGUGUUAUACCUUUUUUGGUAAUUUCACACAGUUAUAGUUGUUCUACUAUAUUUCACAUGUAUUAACUUUUAUCUCUGCUUGUAAUAUUUAAAAAUGUUGUUUCAAUAUACAAUUAAGUAUUAAAAAUAUAUUCUAUGUGUAAUUUUUCCUUUGCGUAAAAAAUCUUUUUUCAUAGAAUAAUGUAUUUAGAUGAAAAUAAAAAAAAGAGCACUUGACUUGUGGCUCAGUUAAUUAAAAAAAAAUUGUAUUUUAGGUUUCGAUUUCGAAUUUGUCUCGAGUUUAGAUCUCCCUGCAUUAAAAUCAUUUAUAUCAGGAAAAGAAAAAUAAAAAGGAGAUUAUAAUGCUACUCUUUAGAAACCUAACGAAUGCAAAGCCAUUAUGAUAUCUUAUGUGGCAAUCAUACACUUGCUUACAUAGUUUUUUUAUUACAAGGGGUCAUAUAUAAUAUUAGUCUACAUGUCGAUAUAUUUUUUUCUUCCAUAUUCUUUCUAAAAAAUCUGUAGAAAUUAAAAGAGCAAUCAGUACUUCUUUCUUUAUAAACUCAGAAAAAUUAUAAAAACAAUUCCUAUUUUUGGCUUUUAUAUUGACCGCUUAGGAUCAUUUUCUCCUAAUCCACCAAAUCAAGGAAUACGAGUCAUUAAAAUUUGAUUUAACGGCUACAAAUAGGAGUCCACUCUAAAAGUUAUAAUAACUUUAGCCGUUGAAUCAAAUUUCAAUAAUUCAGAUCCCCUAAUUUGAUGGAUUAAGAGGAAGGGAUCUGGAGAGGAUCAUUUUCCAUGAAACAAAUCAAACAUCCCCCUUAUUGCAUGAAGCACCCCGCCUCAGUUGACCAAAGAUAUAAAUAUAUUAAUGUAAUCCAAAUUCUUACUUUCUAUAAAUAGAUGGAAAAGCCUUGCCACAAGGUACCCAAGACAAAGCAACCUGUUAAUCCAUAUUUCAAUCUAAACUUCAACCUACUAUUCACCUAUGGCUUCCCUUCAAAUCUCCAACUGGGAAACCCAAAUUCCUGCCGAGCUUCUCAUUGCACGAGUUACACAACUUCAUUCGAGCAUUUCCAAACUCAACUCUCUUUGUCCUUGAAAACAAGUUAAUUCUCUCUUCACUCAGCUGGUGAAUCUAUGUACUCUUCCGUGUGACAUAGAUAUCAUGGACUUGUCCCAAGAAUUCAAACUAUCCGCCAGAGUCUUAUCGAUCUAUGUAGCCACACUGAAGGCCUUUUGGAGCUUGAAUUCUCCACAUUCCCAGUGAAAGUUUCACAGCCCCUAAACAGUCUUAGCUCUGGUUUGAUACUGAGGUGAUUCUGAAAAAAAUGGUUAUCAAAAAAAGCUGGGAGCUUUUUUAUGUUUGGUAAACAUUCAGCUUCAACUUUUUUUUUCACAGUUUUGAAAGAAAAAAAGCCAAAAACAUAAAGCUGCAAAACCCAACUUUGAAAAACCAGUUUUUGUUUCACAUCUGUUUUACAUAAAAGUUUAUCAAACACUAUAAUACUGUUUUUUUUUCUUCAAAAGCAUUUUUACAAAAAAGUUUACCAAACACUCUACUGCUUUAUUUCACAGCUGCUUAUUCUCACAGCACAGCAGAAGCAGUUUUUUUUUAAAAGCACAGCAAUUCCAAACCAGCCCUCAAUAUCUUCCCUUACUAUGACAACUAUGUCCUACUAGCCAAUUUGGAGCACAAGAUUCUCGUUGACAAUGGGGUGGUGCAUCCCAACAAGGUAGCCUUUGUUGGGUCGGGGCCAAUGCCUCUUACUUCCUUCAUAUUGGCCACUUAUCACAUGAAAUCCACUCAUUUCGACAACUUUGAUAUCGAUGAGAAGGCAAAUGAUGUGGCUCAAAAGAUUGUUUUUACAGACGUUGAGCUAUCGAAGAGGAUGAAGUUUGAGACAAAUGAUAUUAUGAAAGUUAGAGAGAAGCUUGCAGAAUAUGAGUGCAUAUUUUUGGCAGCUUUGGUGGGGAUGAAUAAGGAAAAUAAGGUAAAGAUUCUUCAGCAUAUUAGGAAGUAUAUGAAGGAUGGAAGCGUUUUGCUUGUGAGGAGCGCCAAAGGGGCUUGAGCAUUUUUGUACCCAGUUGUUGAGGAGCAUGACUUGCCCGGCUUUGAGCUUCUUACAAUCUUCCAUCCAAAUAAUGAGGUGAUAAACUCUGUUGUUCUCGUGCGCAUGCCUAUCUUCUAGGGUAAUUGUUUCUGCUUCUUUAAAUUGUUAAGCUAUAUAUGUAUGAUGUAUCUUUAAAGUGUGAUGUUUUUUUUUGUUUUACUUCAUGUCGUCAAUAAAUUGAGGGUAUACUUCCCCUAGUUCUAUUGGUUUCUGCAACUAAGGGUGUAGUAUCAUAUUGUAAACAUUAAAAUUUUGGUGAAAUAAAUGUUUCUCAAAACGUUAAAUUUUGACUCCUUGAGACUUUAUGGCACACUCUAUGUGUCUCGCAAAUUGUACACAUUGCAUGUGACUCAUCAAAGACGAACAAGUCGUCAAGAGUGACACAUGUUGAUAUCUGAAACCUCCGUCAAACAAUUCAAAUCAAGUAAAAAAAAAUGUAAAUUAACCCUAAUUGAUCAAAUCCCUCAAUUAUGGUUUAAUUCCUUAAAUUACUGAUUUUGAUUUAAUUAAAUAAAUCAAAUCAGAUACAAGGAAACUAUUAACUCUAAUUUGAUCAAAUUAUAUCAAUCGGGCUUUAAAUUUCUUAAAUUAAAACCAUGGAGGCAAUCUAUCUCUUACAAAGAUCGAUAGAAAGAUGUAGAGAUAUGAAAAAGGAUUUGCACAUGGUCUUUAUAGAUUUAGAAAAAAUGUAUGAUAGGCCCUAAGAGAUAUUCUUCGGAAGAUUUAGAGGAGAAAUGAGUAUGAGUAGCAUCUAUCCAAGCUAGGAUAUGUAUGAUGGAGCAAGAACUGUCCAAAGAAUUCAUGAAAGACAAACCAAAAGCUUCGCCAUAACUAUGGGAUUACAUCAAGACUCAUCUUUAAGUCCUUACCUUUUUGCACAUAUAAUGUAUGAGUUGACGGGACAUAUCCAAAAUGAUAUUCCUUGGUGUAUGCUUUUCGCAGACGAUAUAGUGUUGAUAGAUAAAACUUAGAAGGGAGUAAAUGUGAAGCUUAACCUUGGGCAGGAAGUUUAUCUAAAGGUCUUCGUCUAAGUAGGUCAAAGACAAAGUAUAUGGAGUGCAAGUUCAAUGGGAACAGAUGUUCAAAUGAGUUAGGGUGAGGAUUGGAGAUCAAGAAGUACCAAAGAACGAAUGCUUUAGCUAUCUUGGAUCUAUCUUGCAAAAGAACGGAGAAUUGGAUAGAGCCCUCAAUCAUAGAAUACAAGCUGGAUGGAUGAAGUGCAAGAGUUCAUCGGGUGUGUUGUACGAUCGUCGUAUGCCACUAUGCUCAAGGGAAAAUUUUAUAGGAUGAUAAUAAGGCCAACAAUGCUUUAUGGCACAGAAUGUUGGAUAGUGAAGCAUCAACACGUACACAAAAUGAGUGUAGUAGAGAUGAGAAUGCUUCGUUGGAUGUGUGGGAGCACGAGAAAGUUCAAGAUUAGAAAUGAGGAUAUCCGAGGUAAAUUAGGAGUAGUUGAAAUUGAAGAUAAGAUGAGAGAAAAUCAGUUACGGUGAUUUGGACAUGUCAAACGAAGAUCUACAAAUGCUCCGAUUAGAAAAUGUGAUUAUGAUAUAGAGAUCCAUGGACAAAGGGGUAGAGGAAGACCUAUGAAGAUUUGGAAAGACUCUAGGAAAAGACUUGGAUUACUUGGAUCUAACGGAAGACAUGACACAAAAUUUAGCGCAGUGGCGUUUUAGGAUUCAUAUAACCGACCCCACUGAGUAUGAUAAGGCUUUGUUGUUGUUGUAAAGAUUAUGAUUUAAUUAAAAAAAAGGCAAAACAGUACUUCUUAUUGUUAACUCAAAAAAAAAAAAAUAUAUAUAUAUAUAUAUAUAUUGUUGAAUAUAUGUCAACAAUCUAUGAUAAUUUAUAUAUGCUAAUAAAUAAUAAAUGCAAUAGGAAUUAACAGAAUAUAAACUAGAAUACGAAUUAUAAAAACAGACAACUUGAAGAUCGAGGCUUGCGUACCGCAAUGUCCUUGAAACAGAAAUUUCGUCUCUACUUUGUGCUUGUAGUUCUACGGACGUCUGCUUCACCAGGAUUCAACGAUCAAGUUAAAAUUCCAGCACCGGAAAAUUUAACUUCUGGCGAAUUUUGUGUGGUUCUCUCAAUAAGAAGGUUUAGGAAUGUAGAAGAUGAAGUUGAUUAUUUUCUGUGUUUUAAAUGCCAUGCAAAUGGAUGUAUAUAUAGCAGAUGGAUGCCUGUUUGCAACAGGUAUGAGAAUGGGGAGUGACUGUUGGGAGACAUCUCUUCAGAGGGGUGCUUUACUAUGUGUUCAGAAAGAACUCUCAAACUUCAUCUGAAAGGAUGAGUCUUUUCAUAAAAAAUAAAUAAAUAAUUUAAUUCGAAUUUAAUUAAAACUAAUUAAUUAAAUCCGAAAAAUAAUUAAUUAAAUAAUUCAAUUAUUAGAGCCCAAGGCCCAUCUUUUGAUAAUUAAUUAUAUAUUAAUUAUUUACUAUUUAUAAUUAAUUUUAUAUUAAUUACCAAUUAAUUAAUACACCCAAAGCCUAACCCCAAGGGUGAGCCCAAUUUUAGUCUCCGGUCCUAUUACUCCAAUCACUUUCUAUAAAGGACAAAGCCUUAUAAAGUGAUAAAAAUUUUUGGGAAUGGCCAAUGUGGGACAAAGAAAUUUCUACUCAAACUACUCAAAUUUCCAACAUACCCCUCAUUUGAGUUGAAAUUUCAUUCAAACUCCAACAAUUACCCCACAUUUGAAUGCAAAUGUAAAUGCAAAUGGAUGACUAGGCUGCCUAAAACUGAGAGAGAAUAGGCAUGAUAUGCAUCGGGUGAAGUGUCUAUUGGACUUGAACUUACCCUAGUGAAAACAUAUCGGGUUUACUUGGUGACGCAGUGGAUGUGGAAGAUCUUGAACUGUUCACCGCAGUAGUAAACCGAGACAAUAUGCUACACACAUAUCAUGUCUGCCACACGUCAAUUCAUGCGGUUGUGUUCAUUUUGGCCCUGAACAGAUCCCGGAUUUCAUAGGAGCUUUAGAGAAUUUAGCCAUGUCAAUUCUCAUAAAUGUGGCCUCAUUUACUCCUAUAUAGGUAACAUUAAUUAAGAAUAGUCUGCCAUAUUCCUCUUGAUAACAAGAUAUUAAUGUCAUUAAAUGUAUAAAAUAUAACCCCUCAAACGUCAACAGACAACACACAUUUUAUCAUAAGAAUGGGUAAGUUGUGUGUUCAACUUUUGAAUCAAACUCAACCAGUUUGCCUAUUGAACCUAGACCAUGGGAUCUCCAAUCAGCUAGGUUAGGUUUCCGCCUAGUUUGAUUCAUUGAAUUGGCUUAAGACCCAUUCCCCUCGAUGUAAAUAAUAUUUGCUCUCUUGGUAGGCCUUUUGUCAAAGGAUCAGCUAUAUUUUCCUUUGACUUUACAUAAUCAAUGGAUAUUAUUCCAUUGGAAAGCAAAUUCUUAAGAGUAUUAUGUCGACGCCUGAUGUGACAUGACUUCCCAUUAUAUACAUGACUUUUGGCCCUUGAUUGCGUGGCCAUACUAUCACAAUGUAUACAUAUAGCCGUUACCGGCUUUGGCCACAUUGGAAUAUCCUCCAGAAAAUUUUUGAGCCAUUGGGCUUCUUCGCCAGCCAAGUCUAAAGCUAUAAACUCGGACUCCAUGGUGGACCAAGCUAUACAUUUCUGUUUAGAGGAUUUCCAAGAUAUUGCUGCACCUCCAAAGGUAAAAACAUAUCCAUUUGUCGACUUGGAUUCUGUAGUGUCAGAAAUCCAAUUGGCAUCACUGAAGCCUUCUACAACAGGUGAAUAUUUUGUGUAGUGUAAUCUGUAGUCAAGUGUAUUUUUCAAAUACCUUAACACUCGUACUAAAGCAUCCCAAUGCUCUUGUGCCGGAUUACUUGUAUAUCUACUAAGCCUACUUACUGCAUAAGCUAAGUCAGGCCUAGUUGAAUUCAUCAAGUACAUUAGACUUCCAAUUACUUGAGAAUAUUCAAGUUGAGAUAUGGCAUCACCUUUAUUUUUUUCCAACUUGCAUCCAGCAUCAAAAGGAGUUGCAGCAGGUUUGCAGUCAAAUUGACCAAACCUUCGUAAUAUUUUUUCUGCAUAAUGGGAUUGUGUAAGGACAUAUCCUUCACUAUUUCUCUUAAUUUGAAUUCCUAAAAUGACAUCGGCUUGACCUAAGUCUUUCAUGUCAAAACUGGAAUUCAACAUUUUCUUUGUUUUGUUUAUGACCUCUUUAUUACUUCCCAUUAUGAGCAUAUCAUCUACAUACAAGCAGACAAUAACACAAGUUUUAUCAUUACUCUUAAUGUAGACACAUUUAUCAGAUUCAUUUAUUUUGAACCCAUGUGUCAACAAAGUAUGAUCAAACUUCUCGUGCCAUUGUUUUGGUGCUUGUUUAAGUCCAUAUAAUGACUUAACUAAUUUGCACACUUUGCUUUCUUGUUCUUUAAGCACAAACCCUUCAGGUUGUUCCAUGUAUAUUUCUUCAUCUAGUUCUCCAUUUAAAAAUGCUGUUUUUACAUCCAUUUGAUGUAUAUCAAAGUUGUAUACAGCCGUAAUCGCUAUUAACGUCCUAAUUGACGUUAUGCGAGAAACCGGAGAAUAGGUGUCGAAAUAAUCCAACCCUUCUUUUUGGCGAUAACCUUUGGCUACUAAACGUGCCUUGAACUUAUCAACGGUUCCAUCCGCCUUAAGUUUCUUCUUGAAAAUCCAUUUAUGGCCAAUUGGUUUACUACCGGGAGGUAAAUCAACCAAUUCCCAUGUGUUAUUUUCCAUAAUGGAUUCCAUUUCACUUUUAAUUGCUUACUUCCAAAAAGGAGUCUCAGAAGAAGACAUUGCUUCUUUAAAAGUGCUAGGUUCAUUCUCCGACAAGAAAACAAUGAAAUCUGGUCCAAAGUUUUUAGAAACUUUGAUUCUUUUUCCUCUUCUUGGUUCCACAUCAUUUCCUUGGACACCAAAAGAAGAGACUUCAUCAUGACUAUGAUCAUGAACCCUCUUUGUAUUAGAACCAGAUUCCUUUUCUUUGUAAGGAAAUAUAUCUUCAAAGAAUUCCGCAUUCGUUGAUUCUAAUAUAGUGUUGACAUGUAUGUCAGAAAUCGAAGAUUUUACAACAAAGAACUUAUAAGCAGCACUAUUGUUUGCAUAUCCAAUGAAUACACAAUCAAUAGUUUUAGGUCCUAGUUUCGUUCUUUUUGGUAACGGAACUUGCACCUUUGCUAAGCAACCCCACACUUUGAGGGUUUUAUAAGUGGGUCUAUGUCAUUUCCAUAGUUCAUAAUGUGACUCGUCAAUCUUCUUUAGAGGAACCUUAUUUAAUAUGGUAUUUGCAGUAAGUAAAGCUUUACCCCACAAAUUGUGUGGAAGCCUUGAACUAUUUAACAUGGAAUUAAUCCUAUCUUUGAAUGUUCUAUUUUUUCUUUCGGCAACACCAUUUUGUUGUGGUGUGUAUGGAGCUGUUGUUUGAUAUAUAAUUCCAUGUUGUGCACAAAAAUCUGAGAAGGCAGUAGACUCAUACUCUCCUCUUCUAUCAGAUCUAAGUGCUUUGAUUUUUCUCUCAAGUUGAUUUUCAACUUCGGCUUUAUAUGUCUUAAACAUAUUCAAAGCUUCGUCCUUGCUAUGAAUCAAAUAAACAUAGCAAUACUUACUGCAAUCAUCAAUAAAUGUGACAUAAUAAUUCUUUCCUCCACAAGUUGGUGUGGAUUUAAAGUCACAAAGAUCACUAUGAAUUAAUCCAAGUAAUUCAUUUGAUCUUUCCAGAAUUGACUUUCUCGUUUGCUUAGCAAAUUUCAAUUCAGUACAUGUUUCACACUUAUGAUUAAAAUCAAUUUCGAAUUUAGGUAAUAAGUCUAAUUUAACCAUUCUAUGCAUGGAACGAAAAUUAACAUGUCCUAAUCUAGCAUGCCAAAUAUUAGAAGACUCAACAAUAUAAGUAGAAGCAUUUAUUUUAUUAGCAUCGUCAAUGGCAAUUACAUUGAGUUUCACGAGGCCAUCAGCCACAUAACCCUUUCCAACAAACAUCCCACCCUUGGUAAGUACAAAUUUGUUGGAUUCCAUUACAAGUUUGAAGCCCUUAGCAAUUAGAAUAGGUUAAGAAACCAAGUUCCUCCUUAUUUCAGGAACAUGCAACACAUUCAGCAAGGUGAGACUCUUUCCAGAUGUGAAUUUGAGUACCACUUUGCCUUUGCCCUCCACCGCAGAUGAGGCAGAAUUGCCCAUAUACAGCUUUUCUCCAUGGGCAGCAGGAUGAUAUUCAGUGAAUAGAUUUCUGUCAGCGCAUAUGUGCUUACUAGCACCAGUAUCCAAUAGCCAUUUACUCACAUUUGAGACCAUGUUGACCUCAGACACAACAGCAGCCAAUUCUUCAUUGGUGGUUGCCAUGUUAGCAUGGUUGUUGUUGUUUCCGUUGGCAUGAUUUCCAUCCUUGCGAUGAUAAAAAUCUUGUGCCUUGUGACCAGAUUUGCCACACACAUAGCAUGCACCCUUAAUCUUCUUCAGAUUCUUGCCUUUGGGAGCAAGGGCAGAUUGUACAAACUGCUUGGUUUUAGGAGCCUUAUUCUUCUUCGGCUUGGCCUUGGAGUUUCCUCCCUCAACAUAAUUUGCAUUGGCUUCAAUGGCAGAAAACCCUCCAGAACGGUCUACCUUUCUGUGGUCUUCUUCCACUCGUAGCCUUAGGAUCAAAUCCUCCAUGUUCAUCUCACGACACUUGUGCUUGAGAUAAAUUUUGAAGUCAUUCCACGAAGUUAGCAAUUUUUCAAUUAUCGCCCCAACUUGGAAAUGCUCAUUGAUCUCGCAUCCCUUGGAGUGCAGUUCAUAGAUCAAUUUCUAGCUUUCUUCGACCUGAGAAACAACAGAUUUGGAAUCCACCAUUGUAUAUUUGAGAAACUUACCGAUAACAAAUUUCUUUGAACCAGCAUCAUCAAUCUUAUACUUUUUCUCCAGGGAUUCCCACAACUUCUUCGCUGUCUUGUACAGAGAAUAAAUGUCGUAGAGAUUGUCAUCCAAACUAUUCAUAAUAUAAUUCCUGCAACAAAACUCGGAAUGAUUCCAAGCUUCGAUUGCCAUGACAGUCUCUUUCGUCAUUGGAUUCUCAUUAGACUUCGGAGCUUCUUCCUUGACAACAUGAGCGAGAUUCAUUGUUGUCAGGAAGAACAACAUCUUCUGUUGCUAUCUCUUGAAGUCCAACCCUUUGAACUUCUUAGGCUUUUCAGAGUAUUUUGGCACAGCGCCAUUCACAGAUUGUUGAUCCAUAAAUUUCUGUUUCAAGAUUGUUGAAUAUAUGUCAACAAUCUGUGAUAAUUUAUAUAUGCUAAUAAAUAAUAAAUGCAAUAGGAAUUAACAGAAUAUAAACUAGAAUACGAAUUAUAAAAACAGACAACUUGAAGAUCGAGGCUUGCGUACCGCAAUGUCCUUGAAACAUAAAUUUCGUCCCUACUCUGUGUUUGUAGUUCUACGGACGUCUACUUCACCAGGAUUCAACGAUCAAGUUAAAAUUCCAGCACCGAAAAAUUUAACUUCUGGCGAAUUUAGUGUGGUUCUCUCAGUAAGAAGGUUUAGGAACGUAGAAGAUGAAGUUGAUUAUUUUCUGUGUUUUAAAUGCCAUGCAGAUGGAUGUAUAUAGCAGAUGGAUGCCUGUUUGCAAUAGGUAUGAGAAUGGGGUGUGAUUGUUGGGAGACAUCUCUUCAGAGGGGUGCUUUACUCUGUGUUCAGAAAGAACUCUCAAACUUCAUCUGAAAGGAUGAGUCUUUUUAUAAAAAAUAAAUAAAUAAUUAAAUUCGAAUUUAAUUAAAACUAAUUAAUUAAAUCCGAAAAAUAAUUAAUUAAAUAAUUUAAUUAUUAGAGCCCAAGGACCAUAUUUUGAUAAUUAAUUAUAUAUUAAUUAUAUACUAUUUAUAAUUAAUUUUAUAUUAAUUACCAAUUAAUUAAUACACACCAAAGCCCCACCCCAAGGAUGAGUCUAAUUUUAGUCUCCAGGCCUAUUACUCCAAUAACUUUUUAUAAAGGACAAAACAUUAUAAAGUGAUAAAAUUUUUUGGAAAUGGCCAAUGUGGGACAAAGAAAUUUCUACUCAAACUACUCAAAUUUCCAACAUAUAUAUAUAUAAAUUCCUAUUUUUGACUUUAAUAUUGACCUACGAAACAAAUCAAAGAUCCCUCUUACUGCAUGAAGCACCCCGCCUCAGUUGACCAAAGAAUUCAAUAUAUUAAUGCAAUCCAAAUUCUUACUUUCGAUAAAUAGGUGGAAAAGGCUUGCCACAAUGGACCCAAGACAAAGCAAUCUGCUAAUCCAUAUUUCAGUUCAAUCUAAACUUCAACAUACCUCUUCACCUAUGGCUUCCCUCCAAAUCUAUAACUUGGAAACCCAAAUUCUCGUUGAGCUUCUCAUUGCUCGUGUUACACAACUGCAUUCUAGCAUUUCAAACAAGUCAGUUCUCUCUUCACUCAGUUGGUGAAUCUAUGUACCAUGCUGUGUGACAUAGAUAUCAUGGACUUGUCCCAAUAAGUUCAAACUAAUCGCCAGAGUCUUAUCGAUCUAUAUGGCCGCGCUGAUGGCCUUUUGGAGCUUCAAUUCUCCAAAUUCCUGGUGAAAGAUUGACAGCCCCUAAACAAUCUCAAUCUCUUCCCUUACUAUGGCAAUUAUGUCCUAUUAGCCAAUUUGAAGCACAAGAUUUUCGUUGACAAUAGAGUAGUGCAUCCCAAAAAGGUAGCCUUUGCUGGGUCAGAGCCAAUGCCUCUCACUUCCUUCAUAUUGGCCACUCAGCACAUGAAAUCCACUCAUUUCGACAACUUUGAUAUCGAUGAGAAGGCUAAUGAUGAGGGUCAAAAAUUGUUGCUAUGGACGUUGAGCUAUCAAAGAAGAUGAAGUUUGAGACAAAUGAUAUUAUGAAAACUAGAGAGAAGCUUGGAGAAUAUGACUGCAUAUUUUUGGCUGCUUAAUUUGGUGGGGAUGAAUAAGGAAAAUAAGAGAUUCUUAAGCAUAUUAGGAAGUAUAUGAAGGAUGGAAGCGUUUUGCUAGUGAGGAGCGCUAAAGGGGCCAGAGCAUUUUUGUACCCUGUUGUUGACGAGCAUGACUUGCUGGUCUUUGAGCUUCUUACAAUCUUCCAUCCAAAUAAUGAGGUGAUUAAUUCCGUUGUUCUCGUGCGCAAGCCUAUUUUCUAGGGUAAUUGUUUCUGUUAUUUUUAAUUGUUAAGCUAUAUAUAUGUGAUGUAUCUCUCUCAAGUGUGAUGUUGUUUUUUGUUUUACUUCAUGUUGUCAAUAAAAUAAGGGUAUACCUCUCUAAUUCUAUUGGUUUCUGCAGCUAAGGGUGUGGUAUCAUAUAAAUGAGAAAACGAGUGAUCUUCUUAUUUUUUAUUUUUAUUUUUAUUUUUUAUUAUUUUAUCGAGAUGGAUUAGGCGAGAUUAGCUCUUUGUCAACAGUCGUGUGUGAGGCACCAACUCUCUCCUGAAGGAGAAAGGACCGUUGCACUCAAAACAACCCCCCCUCACUCCCAUCGCCUCUCUACUAGAUUUUAUUAAUAAUAUGAAGAAAAAAUGAAAAGUAAUACAAGCCGGGGGGGGGGGGGGAAUAGGCCAAUACCCGCUAAAACAAUUUUUGAAGACAAACCCUAACAAGAAGUAGAAAACUACUUAAAACACUGAAACCUAGUUACCAAAAAACAAUGUAAAUCCCAUCCUAACAAAAUAGAAAAUUUGGGCAAAGAGAAAGAUUCUGAUGAUACGCAUAAAUAGCACAAGGAGGACAAGAGUCCCACCAAUAAACCCCAGUAUGGUCCACUCCAAAAUUUGCCAAAUAGUCAGCCACCUGAUUCCCUUCACACAAAAUAUGUGUGACUCUUAUGCACAUAGAAGAGAGCAACACUCGACAAUUCAACCAACGUACCCUUAAAUGCCAGGGAACACGAUUAUGAGAAGCAGAAAUGAAAAGAACAGCUAAGGAUGAAUCACACUCAUUCCCUUCCCUUCUCCCAAGCUAAGUUUACCACAUGAAAUACAACAUGCAAUUCAACAUCACAAAAGAUACCGCCAGUACCAAAAUGAUCACGAAAGGUACCGCCAGUAUAAGCCAAUCCUGGUGAUCCACAAGCUGCACCAUUGGUAUUCACCUUUACCCAAUGUAGAGAAGGUGGUUUCCAUAAAACUUCAAUAACAUGAGGUGACUUGGCAGGACGAUCAAACAAACCAAUAACGCGAAGAAUACAAAGUUCGUCCACAUAAUUUUUCAUGUUUCCCUUGCUAAGUGAAUGAAUUUCAAGAAGCUGAAAAUUAAUUGAGUGAACAAUAUCAGUAAUGGAUGGUUGAAUAUCAUCAGAACGAAGCUUAUUACUUGUUGUCGAAAGACAAUAUAAACAAUCUCCAACUAAACCCCACCAUAAGAGUGGAAUCUGAGAGCAAUAGCCUUUGUGAAGAGGAUAAGUGAAGGUCAUAAUAUCAUCAAAAGGAGAGAUCACCCCAAACCAAUUUGAAUAUGAAGACCAAAUUGACAUGAGAAGGAACAUUCUGAAAACAAAUGUCUCGGAGUUUACACAUGUUAGCAACAAAGGGAAUACAUGGAGGGAGGAGCAAAGCCUCUAUCCUGUAAUAAAGAAUCUGUAACAAUUUUCCCAUGCAUGAAUUUCCAUAAAAAAAAAAUAGAAUUUUUAGGACGAAAACAAGAAUUCCAAACCCAACGGUCUCAAACCACCAAGGGUUGCUUGCUUCGUUUAAUAUCAUAAGCACGAGAAAGCGUGAGAUGACCAUCAGAACAAUCAGUCCAAAUCGAAGUAUUUAUCAUCAAUUUCAGUAGUCUUAGGUAAGCAAUAGAACAAGUUUGACCCCAAAUAAGAUGUAAACUAUCAUGGAGAGAGGCAAGACAAAUCUAAUUCCCAUCAAUAAUAAAAUUGGAGACCUGUGCAUGCAAAGUUUUACCCAAAGCCUUUGGAAUGUUUAAAACUUCAAUUAAGGAUUAAUCCAACAAUUGGCAUGCCAAAAGGAAACAUUUUUACCUGAACCAAUAAUCCAACGUGAGUUUUGUUGUAAUUCAGAAAAAAUAGGACGAAGACCAGGCCAUAUAGAAGAAAUCUUAUACGUGGACGAGGGCAAACCAUGAUUAUUGAAAACUGACCGCAAAAAAAAUGAAGAAGCCAAAGUAAAGGUGACCAAGGUGUCCCAAAUUUUUUUUCAGAAUAAAAGCCUGAUUCAAAGAAGCGAAACUCCGUAUGCCAAGACCUCCUUUAUUCAGUGGAGCACAACACCUCUUCCUUGAAACCGUAAAAAAGCCACGAGAGUCCACACAACCUGUCUAGAUAAAAUUACGAGCCCAAUUUCUACUUGCACCAACACGGUAAAAGGCCAUCGGUAAACUGAAAAACUGUGAGAAAGCAUACUAAUAACAACCGAUUUAAUUAAAGCAACACGUCCGGCCAUAGACAACAAACGUCCUUGCCAUUGAGAUAUUCGUUGACGCACUCUAUCAGCCAAUGAUUGGAAAUAAACCCUCUUCAGGCGACCUUGAAAAAGGGGAACACUAGGAUAAAUAAAAGGAAGGUCCCCCAAAUUUACACCAAGCCAAGAAACAAUUUGGGAACAAUGAUGAAAUGCAGCUUUCCCAAUAUACACUCUAGAUUUUUGCUAAUUGAUAUAUUGCCCAGACGAACACCACGACUGCAACUGAAAAAGCCCACCGGAGAGCCAUUAAAAAGAACUGAUAAACACGUUGAAUGAAGAAUAAAGCUAAUCCUCUGAACAAAAGAAGAAUGAAAACCAAAAGCCUAUAGCACUCAAGUCAGGAAAGCCCAAUUAAGAGUGUCGAAAGCUUUAGCAAUGUCAAACUUAAUUGCGACAUUGCCCCCAUAGCAUUUAUUGUCGAGCAAAUUAAUACAUUCCGAGGCAAGAAGUAGGCAGUCUGAAAUAUGACGACCUUUAAGAAAACAAACUGAUUUGGAAAAGUGAUCCGAGCUACAAUAGAAGCAAGACGAUCUGCCAAAAUUUUGGUAAUCACUUCAAUCAUAAAAUUAGUCAUGGCAAUGGGGCGAAACUGUGAAAUAGAAUCAGCUUCUUGAGUUUUUGGAAUUAGCAUUGCAAAAUUACAAUUGAGAUUGGGGAGGAUAUAACCUGAUAUAAAGAAAGAUCUAACUGCUUCGACCACAUCACCACUAAUAAAAUCCCGAGUGGCCCAGAAAAAAUGACCACCAUAACCGUUAGGACCAGGAGCACUGUCAAGGUCCAUGAAAAAAAAUGGUAUUUUUUUACCUCUUCAAAUGUAGGAAUAGCAAGCAGAGAAGCAUUUUCAAAGUCUGUCACCAAGGACGAAAUAAGUCGAGAAACUAAACCGGUAUCCAUUGUGGUGCCAUCAUCAGUAAAAGCAAUGGAGAAGUACAAAAACACCUUUAGGGAGCUGGAGCAAAAGACGUACCCUUUUCCUAACUCAGACAUGGAUGCAAUGUUAGACGACUUGCUUGAAAAGAAGGUGAUUGAGUUACCGGAAUGCAAGCGCCCUGAAGAGAUGAAUCGCGUAAACAAUCCUAACUACUGCAAGUACCAUCGUAUCGUGAGCCAUCCUGUUGGAAAAUGCUUCAUCCUCAAAGAACUCAUCAUGAAGCUAGCAUAACAAGGGAAAAUCGAGCUAGACCUUGAAGACACGGUUGCACCACAUACUACUACAAUUGCAUUUGGAUCAUUCGAUCCCGUGCCUCUCCAAGUGACACCUGACACCUUCUGCAUAACCAUCAUUGAGGGCAAGUGACCAAGAUGCACAUACCGAUGACGAAGAAGAAUGGACAUUGGUGACCUAUAAAAAGACAAGGAAACCAAAACCACAAGCCACAAGGCCAAAAGUGGAACAAGGGAGAAAGAAUCGUCAUCGUAAUAAUAGGAAGCCCAAAAGAAACAUAAAAACUGCUAAGCCAACGUACACUGGGGAACCUGUGGAGCAAGAGCCACGUAUUCCUGUUUCCUUGCAUGAGUACUUCCCGAAUGACUUCUUCCAACAGUGCACUAUCGCUGCAUGUCACAUGGUCGAAGUAGAAAUGGAAGAACUUUUAAAAGGCAAAGUCAUCGCCAUCGAGGGAGAAAUUACCCUCACACCCAAAGAAGGCCUGCCGACACACUUUAGCAUCGAGGAAGUGCUAUGAUUGCCAAAGAAGAUGCGAAGAGCACUAGCAGCGGUCUUGGCAAGUCCCGACGACCACGAAGUGCAAGAAAGCCAGGACGAAGGCUUGAAACUUCGACCACAUGAGUAUGCCACUUGUUGUGUGACCUAGGACACAAUCCACUUCACCGAUGAAAACUUGAUGCUAGGAUCCAAGAAACAGUCCUCUCUUUGUCUCGGGGUACGUAAGGGAGCAUAAAGUCAACCAUUUGCUUGUGGAUGGUGGAUCGGCCAUAAACAUCAUGCCGAAGUCAACAAUGACCAUAAUCGGCAUCAAGAUGGAUGAAUUAUCCCUAAGCCGUCUACUAAUCAAAGGUUUUAAUCAAGGAAGACAAAGAGUGAUGGGCAUGAUUCGAGUAUAGAUGACCAUUGGUGAACUUAAAUCAAGCAUAAUAUUCCAUGUGAUUGAUGCAAGAACUUCCUACAGCCUGCUCCUAGGAAGACCUUGGAUCCACAGAAAUGGAGUAGUACUAUCCACCCUCCACCAAUGCUUAAAAUUCUACCGGGAAGGGGUAAAGGUUAUCCAAGGUGAUACCAAGCCAUUCACCGAAGCAGAAUCACACUUCACAGACGCCAAGUUCUACAUGGAUGAAGACAUAGUGCCUGAAGCUCUUCCAAAAGAUAUCAAAUCCACGGGCAAAAUAGCACCUAAAAAGCAAGAAUGGCAAGCCGUGCCAUUUUUAGGCAAAAACGAUGACGAGCCUGUUAAACCUACAACAACCAAAGGGAGUAGGACGUCUUCAGAAGGAUCGAACACACCCAUAUUUCGAUACAUCCUGAUGUUAAGAAGAAAGAAUGGUCAAUCCUGGUUCAAAAUCGGAGCAAGCAAAGCUGAAACACAGUGGCACAAGGAUAAUGUGAAGUUGCUCAAGAUGAAUGCAGUUUUGCCUCUGACACAGCUAGGCGGUGCUAAGGUUGCAAGACUACCACAAGGCUUCAUAAAAGCUCUGCCAAAGGGGGUGGAACUAAGCUUUCUUCCAACCAAGAGGACUGAAGAAGGUUUUGAUCGAAACCCCUACAAGCUCAUGUUGAAAGCUGGGUAUGACUUCGCUUCCUCUUCGAAUCCUGGAGAGAAGGUUUCAAACACCGUCAACGUCAAAGAACAUAACCUCACCAAGACUCAAAAGAAGUUGAAGGAGCAUGGUUACGGAGUUGACAACAACAAAGCUGGGCUCCGCUUCACACCAAAUGCACCCGUGAAGAUUUCAAGCAUAACGAAAAAUGCUAGCACUCAACACAUCAGUGUGAGCAUUGAAUAAAGUAAAGAGAAUCCUAAGUCUACUCCUCGGAUGUCAAUCUUCGAUAGGAUGAAUCAUUCAAGGCCUAGAAUUUCGGCACUUGAUCGCAUUGGUGGUCAAGACCAAACCUCCGUUUUCAAGAGGCUUAACACACCAACAUCCCAAAGCUCUGUUUUUGAAAGGUUGUCAAAACCCAAGCAGCGAAGCAACAUGGCCAACUCUCAUUCGUGAUGGUCAGCUUUGGAAAGACUUGAAGACAACAAGAAGCCUUAUAGAAAGAGGGAAAUAACGCCAAAGGAAGAAAAGCUCGACGGUCUGGCAAGAAAAGAUGAUGUUCGAAGCUUUAUUCCUUUAAGGAUGAAAUGCCAAGCAAUCUUGGAGGUUGACACAAUUGGAUCAUUGAAAGUGAGAAGGUGCACCAUCAUUUACACCAGCCAAUCUUCAUGCCAACAAGCCUGAAAAUACGGUACUGAAGAGGAAGUCCAAGAUGCCUGAAAAGAAGGCAAAGAAGACGAAAUCCCCGAGGAAGACGUCACUGCCGCACCACCACAACUGGAAGAUGGGGGGCAAGCCACGGUUGAUGAUCUCAAGAAGCUCAACUUAGGCACAAAAGAGGAGUCGAAGUCUAUCUUUGUAAGUGCGCUGCUAAGUACGGAUGAGAUAGAAGAGUAUUACCAACUGCUACUAGAGUACAAAGACGUCUUUGCUAUGCAUCAUCCUUGUCAUCGCUGUCAUCACGGGUAACCCUAUCAUUGACCCUAUCUUGACCCUACAAGGAAAUGCCCGGGCUUGACCCUGUCAUUGUUGUGCAUCAUCUUGCAGUUAAGACUAGAAUGUGAUCGAUAAAGCAAACUGAAAAGCGAUAUUGAUAGAGGCUCAUCCCACAAAUUAAGGUUGAGAUUGACAAGCUAAUCGAAGCAGGCUUCAUUCGAGAGGUGCAAUACCCCAAGUGGAUUUCCAACAUCGUCAUCGCCCUUAAGAAAUAUGGACAAAUACGUGUUUGCGUGGACUUCCGGGACCUUAAUGAUGCUUGCCCAAAAGACGACUUCCUCUUGCCAAUCAUCAAAAUCAUGGUGGAUGCAACCACUUGCCAUGAAGCACUGUAAUUCAUGGAUGACUCUUCUGGAUACAAUCAAAUUUGUAUUGCUCUUGAAGACGAGGAACUAAUAGCCUUCCGCACUCCAAAAGGUAUCUACUGCUACAAGGUGAUGCCCUUUGGUCUAAAAAACGAUGGAGCCACAUAUCAAUGCGCAAUGUAGAAAAUCUUCAAUGACAUGCUACAUAAAAGCGUAGAAUGUUAUGUACACGAUGUGGUGGUUAGGACAAAGAAAAGAUCAGAUCACUUGAAGAAUUUGCAAAUAGUGUUUGAAAGGUUGCGAAAAUAUAAUUUAAGAUGAACCUAUUAAAGUGCGCAUUUGGCGUCACCUCUGGAAAGUUCCUCAGCUUCAUUGUCAAGCACCAUGGUAUUGAAGUGGACCAAUCAAAGAUCAUGGCCAUUCAAAGCAUGCCUGAACCAAGAAACUUGCACUAGCUGAAGAGUCUACUAGGACGACUAGCCUUUAUCAGGCGUUUCAUCUCCAACCUUGCAGGGCAUUGUCAACUGUUUAGUCGACUCAUGAAGAAGGAUGUUCCGUUCGUAUGGGAUGAAAUAUGCCACAAUGCUUUUGAAAGCAUAAAAAAGUAUUUAUCAAGUCUACCUAUCCUAGGGGUGCCUAUGCCCGGAAAACCUCUCAUAUUGUACAUCGCCGCUCAGGAAAGUUCAGUUGGAGCACUCUUGGCACAAGAGAAUGAAUCCCAAAAAGAAGGAGCGCUCUACUACCUCAGCCGAACUCUCACAGGCGUCGAGUUGAACUACUCCCCAAUAGAAAAGAUGUGCCUCGCCUUGGUGUUCACCAUCCAAAAGCUCAGGCAUUACAUGCAUGCUUACACCAUCCACCUGGUUGCUAAGGCUGACCUAGUCAAAUACGUCAUGUCCAAACUAGUUUUGACAAGACGACUAGCUAAAUAGGCAUUGCUUCUUAAUUAAUACGAGAUCAUCUACAUCUCAGCUAAAGCCGUCAAGGGAUAAGCGCUAGCAGACUUCCUCGCCGAUCAUCCAAUCUCAGCCGAUUGGAAAAUCUCAGACGACUUGCCUGACGAGGAGGUGUUCUACAUUGACAUCUUCCCGACAUGGAUGAUGUUCUUCGACGGAUCCGCACGAGCAAAAUGAGCGGGGGCAAGAGUAGUAUUCAUGUCGCCACAAAGGCAAAUACUACCUUACUUCUUCCAACUAAGCGAACUAUGCUCCAACAACAUUGCUGAGUACCAAGCACUGAUCAUCGGGCUCCAAAUGGUGAUCAACAUGGAAAUCAUAGCCCUUGAGAUAUAUGGCGACUCCAAACUCAUAAUCAAUCAACUCUUAAUUGAAUAUAAGGUGAAGAAAGAUGAUCUUGUCCCAUACUUCUGGCUGGCAACUCAGCUGCUACAAAAGUUCGAGGCCGUGACACUAGAACAUGUGACAAGAAAAGAAAAUCAAAUGGUAGACGCUCUUGCCACCCUAGCCUCGAGUAUGACACUAGGAGAAGACGAAGAUGCAGACGUGCCAGUUUGCCAAAGAUGGGUGAUCUUGCUCGUUACUGAAAUGAUAUUGGAUGAUACAAACGUCAUCUCGAUACUUCCAGUCAACACUGAAGAGUGAAGACAGCCGAUGAUCGACUACUUGAAACAUGGAAAGAUGAUCUUAGACAUCACUUUGAAAUACGUCGACGAGUACCUCGCUUCCUCUACUACAAAGAAACACUCUACCGACACUCUUUUGAAGGAGUACUUCUGAGAUGCCUAGGCGAGGAAGAAGCCAAUCAAGCCAUAGAAGAAGCACACUCAGGUGUAUGCGAAGCGCAUUAGUCUGGACCAAAGCUACAUUUCAAACUCAAAAGGAUGGGUUACUAUUGGCCAAGCAUGGUGAAAGAUUGCCUGGAACAUGCCAAAAGGUGCUAAGCCUGCCAAUUCCACGCCAACUUCAUACAUCAACCGCCAGAACCAUUACACCCUACAGCUACCUCAUGGCCAUUCGAUGCAUGAGGAUUGGAUGUUGUAGGACCAAUUACGCCAAAGUCAUCUGCAGGAGAAGCUUACAUCCUAGCAGCAACUGAUUACUUCUCCAAGUGGGCAAAAGCCAUACUUCUAAGGGAAGUCAAGAAGGAAACUGUCGUUUGUUUCAUCAAGGAACAUAUCAUCCAACGAUAUGGUGUGCCUCGCUACAUCAUCACUGACAAUGGAAGACAGUUAUCCAACCGACUCAUUGACAAGCUCUGCGAGAAACAUAAGUUCAAGCAACAUAAGUCUUUCAUGUAUCAUGCUCCGGCCAACGGUCUUGCGAAACAUUCAACAAAACAUUGUGCAACCUCCUAAAGAAGGUGAUCGACCGAACAAAGAGAGACUGGCACGAAAGAAUAAUCGAAGCACUUUGGGCAUAUAGGACAACACAUAGGACUCCAACCCAAGCUACACCUUAUUCUCUAUAUGGCGUGGAAGCUGUUCUAUCGCUCGAGAGUCAAAUCCCCUCACUAAAGAUAGCCAUACAAGAAGGCUUGACUAACGAAGAAAAUGCAAAGUUACGUUUUCAAGAGCUGGAAGCGCUGGAUGAGAGAAGGCUCGAAGCUCAGUAACAUUUAGAGUGUUAUCAAGCACGACUUUCCAAAGCCUUCAACAAGAAAGUUCGCCUUCGUUCUUUUCAAAUGGGAGAUCUCGUCCUUGCAUUGAGUAGGCCUAUCAUCAUAACUCACAAAACAAAAAGCAAGUUCACAUCAAAGUGGGAUGGACCUUAUGUAAUACAAGAAGUCUACACUAAUGGCGUAUACUUAAUCAUGGCAAAAGACGACUUGAAGAUUGGCCUCAUCAAUGGAAGAUUCUUGAAGCACUACUACCCCUAAAACAAACGGACCAUGCUCCUGGCCCGCAAGAGCAUAAACUGGGCACAUCACAAAAAAAAAAAUCCAAUAAAAAAUGUAUUUGAACUACGUCAUGACUUGAUCCCUCCUCAAUCGAGGGUAUGUAGGCAACUUGAAACUUUAAAAUUUCAAGUAUAGUUACAUCAUCAAUAAAAAUGCAAACACUUUGAAGAAAAAAGAGCAAAUUCAAAAUGAGAAUACUUUAUUUCUUUAAAAUGAAGGAUUUGGCUACAAAACUUUAUUACAAUGAUCAACAGCAACCAAGGCUUAAAGAAGACAUUACUAGAGAACUAUGUCUCUAAAACUACGGAAACGAUCCUCAAGCAGGCCUUCCAAAGUCUUCAAAGUCUCUACAUCGGUGAGAGACAAGGUGGGCAACUUCAUAGCCAUGCCUUUCUCUUGCUCUAGGCAUGACAUUUCCUUCUGGUACUGAGAAAUUGUAGCUUCCUGCUUCGAGAGAACACCUUCAAGUUGUGAUGCUUCGAUUCCUAACUGCCCUCGCUCCCGCUCCAACUCUUCUAGACGCACUUUGACGGAAGCUAAAGAGGUCCUUGUAACUUGAUAAUCUUCCGAAACAGCUUGCUGAGAAAACCAGACUUGGGCAAUUGAUAAAUCCAUUGCCGCAAGUUGUUGAGCUCUAACAUCUAGACUUAACUUCUUCGAGGAAAUAACAUGCAAGGAAUAAUACUCAAUUGAGGUGGCCAUAAGUUCGGCAAUCUGGACCUUUAAGGGCGAGGAAUCAACGUUAAGGUUGUCAAUCACAGAAACAAGUUUCGACAAAUCCUCCUUAAGCAACGCAAGGUCUUCCCAUGGGCACUUUGAAAUCCUCUCCUCAAUAUGGCUUUUGGCAUCCAUGGCCGCAUUAAGUCUGAUGCAAUGGAUAAGCUGCUCAGUACCAUAAAGGUUCGGCCCUUUUAAAGACACCUCAGAGCUAACUGGCAAAGGUGUUAGACGCAUGACGGGCCCUUGCAUACCCUUACUUACAUGCGGAAAACUAGGGCAACUUGGCGGAUUCAAAAUGGGCUCUGCACCAUGAGGAUUCCCAAUCUCCUUGUCUGUAGGUAAAUUACCUUCAAAUAACAUCUCCAUAUAAGAAUAAAUGCAUGUGUUCACCAAAUCAAAAGAAUAAGAAGUCCCAGCCUAAACAAGACAAAGAAAGAUGUUAGAAAUCAAAGCUAAAACAAUGAAAGCAAAGUAAGUGACAAGAAAGAAAUGAAUAUGUACAUCUUUAUCAAGUGACACACGACCACCAAAUUGAGAAGGCCUAAAUGCUUCUUUCUUCUUAUGACAAAAAUUGACGUUGCUAUCAGCCUAAGCACCUUUAAGUGGUCACUUGUUUAUAAUUUGUUGACGCUGCUGCAAAGCAAAUCCAUCUUUGCACAAAUCAACUUCAUCAUCCGCCUCUUCAUAAGAAUCCGGAUGUCGAGGAGACAAGCAUGGGCGCUGAGGAACUAAAACCACAGGUCCAUCUUGCAAAGGAGCUACACUCGCACAAUCAAGCGGUAUUAGAUGCGUAGAAAUCACAGAACAACCCUCUCUCGGCGCAUCAUUACAUAAGCAAGAAGAAUUGGUACCACUUGCCGUCCCUAAGUUUUCAUAAUGUACAUUUGACCACCAAUUUAUGUAAGCACGAGUCACUGGAUUGUUCUUGAACUUAUAUUUGGCCGGCAGGGUGAUAGAAGCAUUUGUACAUGGAUGGGUACAAGACUUCCAAUGCAUAUACACGGCUUGCAAAGAUUCCAAUUGGGUUUUUUCUUCAGUUUGCCCGGCACAUUUUGGACAAAACCAAAUUGCCUGCUAAAACGGUGAGGACUAUAUGGUUGAACGAUGCAUCAGUCUUCUUGCUGUAAAGAAACAUACCCCAAGUGAAGACUUAUAAGAUAUGACAAGUUCGAGAAGUGAAGAUACGAAUCAUCCAUGAUGCCUCACCACACCGAGCCCACUCUCGCCAGGUGAUCCAUCCUCAAGCCUUCAUAACUUCUAAACAACGCUUGCGCCUACAAAUCAUCAAGGCCCUUCGUAGAAAACACGCCAGAUCAUCAUCAAAGGCCCCAACUUAACUGAAGUCAGUCAAGAAAGCCCUGACUUGUCUAAAGUUGACGAAGAAAAAUGAGUGCCAAAGUACUCACCCAACCAACCAUACACGUAGUGGUAGGGAAAUACCGCAGCAUGAUCUUCAGUGCUGGGUUAAGUUUGAAACAACACCCAAGCCAUUGUAAAUGUUGGUUAAGACUAAAAUAGCAAGGUUAAAAGAUUCGCCUGCGGCUAUCUUGUUAACAACUUUGAAGAUUCCAGGAAGGAUGAAAUUGACGUCGUCUUUGGGGAAAAAGAACUUACGAAGCCAACAAGCUAAGAAAGCGACUAGAUAAGAUUCUUCCAAGUGCUCUGACACCAAGCCAAGAUCCUCAAAUGCCUUCAACUCGGUAGGGGUACGGGGCCCAGCUUGACCAAUGACACCUGACGGAUCUGAGUCUCCCUUAAGCCUGGUUGUCUUGUUACGACCACUUUUCUUUGAACACCUCUGGUACUUCAUGACAUCCUAAUACCAAAACUGGAUCCAUGAAGAAAUCUUCACGCCUGACAUACCCGGGGCCUCUUGGGAAAGCUUAUGCUACAUCUAAAAUAAAUAGUGGCAACUCGCAGGCAAUCCUCGACUAUUGCAAUAAGAAAACUCCUCCACCCUAGGAACAAGCUCGUUAUAAAAUUUUCCUUGGAUUGGCAAGCCUCCUAUCUUGUGAAGAUCCCUAAGUGAAAUCAACAUCUCCCCUUGAGCUGUGUGAAGUGUGUUGGUUGUUGAACACCAAUGCUCAAAGAAUGCACGAAGGACGGAAGGAUGACAACCAUAACUGAACAAAGAUGCAUAUAUAGCAUGAUGAAGGCCCAUGUUGGUAAGCACAUCUUUGGAACAGCUCAAGACAUCUUCAAGCCAUUCCCAGUAAAACUCAACGAAGGCGGCUCCUCUAAUAGUCGAUAGGGUACUACUCCAAGCCACAACUUCGCUACGAAUACGAUCACCAAGAAGCUCAGACGAGGCCAGAUGAUAAUCACGAACAUGGUGCGAAGAGUUCAAGAUAAGACUCCUCGACGUGCACGCCUUCUUCUUCGUAUCUGGUUAAACAUAAUCUACCACUUCCUAAGAUACUUCAGAAGAUCACGACUGAAUAUGCAUGGAGUUGUCUUUUGCAGGAAGAGCAAGCACCUUAGAACCAGUCAGUGGCGCGUAAAGCUUCAACGUCGUUCCUCUAUCUUGCAAAUCGCCUUCCUUCGCAAGAAUGGUGAUGGUGCUACUUUUAAAGCACUUGAAAAAUACCAUGACCUCAAAAAAAAAAAAAAAAUCAGCCACAAAACUUGAGCAUCACGGCAAAGAGGGUAGCUAUAAGACAGUCCUUCCGAGCGGCGGCAAGAGGCACGAUGAAGUCACCAUCGAGGAAAGUCAUGACCAAAAGGCACUACACAACAUAAACUCGCUGCAGUCUUUUGCACAACCCCACACGGUAAAAGUGACGCACUGCAACAAGCUCUAAGUAGCGGCAAGAGGCACGACGAAGUCACUACCAAGGAAAGUCGUGACCAAAAAGCACUACACAACAUAAACUCAUUGCAAUCUUUUGCACAACCCCACACGAUAAAAGUGAUGCACUACAACAAGCUCCAAGUAGCGGUGAUGCGUAAAUGUUGACCCUAAAAUCUACCAAGCCUACGUGGCGCGCAGGCCGAGUAUAUUCUAAGCUAACUACGUCCUUCGGUGAUUGCGGGGCGUGCCAACUCGUCGGCCGAGGCUCGGCCGAGGAGUAAAUUUGAUGAUGUUGCGUUGGGUCGUGCUACUGACUUCUGCGUCUUGCGAUUGCGGCCGAGAAAGGAACACGUCUCGGCCUCUUGGGUUCUCGAGCCUGAAGACAAGGCUGCUAUUUCUUACAAAGUUCACGAACCGAAUUCGGCUUUCAAUGUGCCGAAUGUAAUAACUGUGACACCUCACCUCGCCGAGAAGGCUAAUGAGAUGACCUCGACCAACAAGGAUUCGAAAACCCUUCUCGACCGAGACUUGGAUAGGUAAUCGACCGUUCUCGCCGCAGUGCUGUUGAUGCCAACGGAAGAUACUGCGAGACCGACCAAUUCUACGGUGACAGAGCUAUCUAUGCCGACUUAAGAUAUCACCGGUUGCUUCCACAGUGCUGUUGAUGCCAACGGAAGAUGUGUCAGCGAAAAAGGAAAAGAAAAAGAUCUCAAGUUGUGAGAGUUUGCGCAGGGCAAUUUUGUGUUGAUUUUGUCGGGCUGGUUCUGAUGCACAGCUUCCGCUAUUUAUAGCACUGGACCCCGAAUCUGAGAUAGAAUCCUAUUAUUCGGACUAGGUUUUCCCUCUCCGGAUCAAUAUCACCUCGACCAGUCCUGUUUUUAUUAGGAUUGUGAAACCUAGUCCUUAUUCGAGCCCCUAUCCGCUUCUAGGUUGUUAAUCCUGCCGAGAAUCCCUAUUGUAUCAGGACUCGGCUUGUCAUUGCAUUUUGACCUAACCGGCCUAGCUAGUUUGGAAGCCCAUAAGCUGAACGAUCCAUGGUCUUCUUGUCGCAAGGCCUUCCGGGCCGAGAAUGGUUCUACACUCGGCCCAAACUAUUAUUUUGGGCCCAAACAUUGCCCCCUCGCUUCUGAGGUCCUCGGCCUGCAAUCUUCGGCCGAGUUCCGGCCUUGAAGAAGCGAAUCUACCACUCAGAAUCCUCAUACCCGAGUUCCAAGGCGCAUUUAUUGAGCACGAUCGCACGAUCUUGAUCCUGCUAACCUACUCACCAAGUGGCGUCCUCUAAUAUGGCCAAUCCCACAUAAUGACGUCUAAGGCGUGCGGCAGCCUGAACUGUCUUGCCUAUCAUGACCACUAUCUCAAUCCGCGAGCCACUACCUCAGUCCGUGAGCCCAUUUGUCAUCGUGCGGUCGUCGAACCGUCUUUUCGUCAUUAAUUUUAGCCGUCACACGCGCAAUCGUGCGCCCCCAAAACCCUAAAACCUUCGGUCUUCUCAACCGCAUUUCCCAAAUGUUCAUCAUGAUCAACAAUUCCUUUGGUCGAUUUUGCCCUUUGUUAUGAAUUUCGAACGAUUGCUCUUCCCCCCACAACUCUAUAAAUACCGAAAUUUCCUCAUUUGUACUUUUACGCUCUCAAACUUCCCAAAAUUCUCUGCCAUUGAUUUCUAGUGCCUCUCCUAUUCCGAGUCUUCGUCUUUAAAUCCCCAACCCAGAAAAACCCUUUUACUCCGUGCUUCUUUUUCAUAAUGGCAUCCUUCAUCUCCAAGCUUUCCAGGGAAUGUGACCAACAUCCGAAGAUCCUUGAUCGGAGCUCGAUCAAGACCAUCCGGUUUGAAAACGACAUGAACACCCAGUACCAAAUCCUGGUCCUCUCUUCAAGGCUACAAUACCGCCGACUAUCAUCGGCCUUCUACAGGAGCACUGCCUAAAACCCUUGCUUCGAGGGUUUGAAUGGUCGCGAUGGGAUGCGGCUAAACCCCAGGGCUCCUGGCCCUCGACGACCACAUCCUGGGCAGCCUGGGUCGUUCGAAUGGAACGACUCUUCGGCGAGCAAUGGAAGGCCCUUGGCAUCUACGACGCCAUCCUCCUUUCGUCCAUGGAAAUCGUCCCCGACAAGGAACUUCUCCAAGCCGCUCUGUGCUUCUGGUGUUCGGCUACCAACACAAUGGUCCUUCCUCUGGGUCCCAUGGGUCCCACCGUCCUGGAUAUUACUGCCAUUCUGGGGACUUCGGCGAUCGGGAUCCCUGUCGACGCGACCCUCUCUGGGCAUCCGUCGAAUAUCGACCUGAAAACGCUCUUCGACCGUCGGGCCUUCGAGACCUUGAGCCGUGACGGUCAUAUCCCGUCGAAGGAAGAUAUAUCAGAAGCUCCACAAGAACUUCUGUAAUUACAACACCCUCUAUCUUCACUUCGCCGGCCGAGGAGAAGAGGACCUGCGAGAGGGAGAGCAUGAAGCUUUCCUCUUCUACUGGUACAACAAAUACAUUUGUUGUACCAAGUCAAACAAGUGUUUGGUCGAGAACAUGCCGGUAGCCGAAGCCCUGGCCAGUGGUCACGUCUUGGCGCUGAGUUCCAACAUUCUCGCCCAACUUUUCCGCUGCCUGGCCGAGGCGACCCUCCAAAAGGUCGACCCGCACCAGAAUGGUCCUCUCUGGGUCUUCCAACUCUGGUUGCAGGUAUACUUCACCUCCCUUCGGCCGGCCAUAGCCGAAUUCCUCACCAACAGAGGCGCUUGGGUCUCAAUUGGCCUCUCGUCCGACACCUCCCCAUCAAGCCGAAGAGGUAUUUCGGUACCUCUUCGCCCUCGACGACUUCUCCAACGACGAGUUCCUAAUAUGUCGUCGUCGAGACUAUCCUUCCUCCAUCAGGGCUGCCUAUCUCCUCAUGGAGCGCGGAGGAGGACGCCGAUCUCCGUCAGACCUGGGGGUCGUUUGUGCUUGCCCGCGACCUCCCUCUCGGCUGCGAUGGGAAACGGUCAGGAUGGGAAGUAUAUCAUCCGAACUUCCUCGCCCGACAGCUCGGCUACCUUCAGGGCUGCCCUAUCCCCCUUCUCUUCUCCCGAACGGUCCUAAGCCGUGGACGCGAACCUCGUUCCUCUGAGAAGGAAUGUAGAAUCGCCGUGAAGGAGUUCCAAGAGCGCUGCCAAAAAUUCCGCCUUCGACCAGCCACCCCGGAAACCCAAUGCACCGACACCUUUGGUGAGUGGUGGGAGCAAUACACCCAGGAAUUCUUUGGUGCGCCGGUCGAAGACGUGCUUAGCAGACUCUUUGGUGACCGGCCUAAGAAGGCCUCGGCCCCUCAUCCUCAAGGUACCGGUUUCAUUUUCUUCCUUUCCAUCAACCUUGCAUAUUGAGUUGCCUUACUGAGUUUGUCUUUAUCUUUUUAGGUAGUCGGCCUUUGAGAAAGACGGAGGCAGUUGCCGCUGCCACGACCGGGAAAAAAUCGGUCGUGGCCCAAAAGGACAAACCCGCUGGUAGGGCCGUGCUGAUCAAACGGCCUCGCCAAGAGGCCGAGCCGGCUGUCGAGCCUUCCCCGCCAGCCAAGCGGGUCAAACAAAUGGCGAAGAAGGGUGCCCGGGAGAUCCACGUUAUCUCCAGUCACACGACGACUCCCAGUGCUUCUUCUCCCGCCGCCGGCCAUUCUGGGGUCGAGACACAGCCGGCCUCGGCCGCAGAGACGGCCCCAGCGCGGCCUGCCUCUGUGGCCGGCGCAUCAGUUGUACCUCCCUCUGCCGAGAAGGCACCUGUCUCUCAACAGGCGGUUUCUACGACCGAGGGAACUUCUCCCAAGAAUCCAAAGCCCUCGGUCCUUGUGUUGGACGAAAGCGAGGGGAGCGACGAGGUCCCGCUGGCGCACCGUCCUCAUACUCGUCGACAACCUCCUCCAAUACCCGAGAUGGCGGUUCAAACCGGCCCCUCCCCGGUUAAUCGUGGCAAGCGCACGGGUCGAGGAACCGAUCCCGGUGGCCGAACCUCUCGUUCCUUCUCAGGACCAGGGCGUCCCUGCCUCCUCUGAAGCAGCUGCGCCAGUCGGCCCAUCGGCAGCCGACCGGGGCAAACGGCUGCUCGAGGAACCCGAGGCUACGGCGGAAUCGCCGGUCCAUCCCCAAGACCAAGGCUUCCAUAUUCCUCCACAGAGGUUACCUCGGCCUUUGUAAGUACCUUCACUCGUCUCCUCCUGAUUACUUUUCCGCUUUAGACCUCUAAACAAAGAAAAAUACCAAAUGUCAGGUGCCUAUACAUUCUUUUCACCGUCAAUUCUAUGCGCCGAAGGGCGUUAUCUAUAUUUCCUGGCCGCCUCAGUGGCCAUCAAACGUAGAUAACCUCCAUCGGCCGCGGUGAAGUGAAGUGAGAGCAAUCUGAGACACUGGGCUCGGCCAUUGAGUUCUUUUAGGUUCGAGCAACGAUCCUGGGGACAUGGCCGAGGUCUCCUCUCGGCAGGUUAAAACACGACACCUUCUUGCUAUUCUUGUCAUGACUUCCUUUAAACUUAACCUUGUUUAUUUGUGCAGGCUUCAUGGGAGGUUGAAUUCAAAGCCCUCCUCUCCAGCACGACUGCAGAGUCCGGCCCUUCGGCCGCUUCGACUGAUGCUGCCGAUCCAAGUGCCCUAACCCAGCUGCGAGAAGUCCUAGCGCUCUCAUCAUCGCAAAGUUCUUGAGCGCAACGGUCUCGAUUUGCUCGGCGUGUGUCUGAACGACCUUGGAGCCGAUGGUCGCCUGAGCGGAGAUGCCAUUGUCCGGGCAUCGUCUGCCUUGGAGCGCGUUCGGGAGACAUUUAGUAUCUUCCAGACUGCUCUGAAGGCCGAACAGGACCUGCAAGCCGCCAUGGCCGUUCAAGACACCCUCCGUCCGAAGAUUGACGAUCUACGGGCAAAAGGAGAAAACGUUAGCCGAGCUCGACCGUCAGAUGGCCGAACUAGCAAAACGUCGGUCGGCCAUUGCUUCUGAGCUUGCGAGGGACUUCGAGUCAGGCGGGAAGGAUCGCCUAACUGAGUAUGCGGCGGCCAACAAACGAGCGAUCGAGUCGAGCGGCUGAAGCUGGAUAAAAAGAAUCGGCAGGCCGAAGUCAUCAUGGCCGACGUGCGGUGGUUGGAGCUGAAGGCUCUGCUCAGCACUCUCUUCUUCCCUCUCUUCUCCUUAGAUAUAUUUGAAUGUAAACCAACCGUCCUACUCAUUUGUAAAUACUUAUCAAUUUUAAUGGAUUGAUUUUUUACUCACGCAUUUCCCAAGUAACUGGAUAGUAUUUCUUCAAAAACUUCCCAUUAAUCGGUAAUUUGUGAAUCACACCAGUCCGAUCUUUAAAGAUGAUACGCCCCUUUACCGUAUACUUUAUGCACAAUGAACGGCCCUUCCCAAUUCGGCGACCACUUGCCGAACCUAGGAUCUUUUUAGUCCUACGGGCAACACCGUUUGCCAUACCAAUUCACCCUCGCCGAACGUUUUCUGUCGCACCUUUUUGAUUAUAUAGGCUCGCUCCGGCAAUCUGUUUUUGCGCGCACUAGUAAGUUAUACGCGUCAAGUCGCGCUUCUUCCAAAUCUUCUAGUUCCUGUCUCAUGGACUGAUUGUAUUCGGCGCUAAACAAACUACUUUGUUCAAUUAAUCGCAACGAAUUUAUGCUCAACUCGACUGGUAGCACUGCAUCGUGUCCGUAGGUUAAUGCGUAUGGGUUGUUGCAGUCGCCGAUCGGGGCGACGUUCGGUAUGCCCAUAAUGCCUCGUUUCAACUUCAAAUGCCACAUGCCAGGCCUGUCUUUUAUUAUUUUUUCGAGGAUGCCGAUCAACACUUUAUUACUUGCUUCGGCCUGCCCAUUCGCCUGUGGAUAAUACGGUGUGGGACUGCUCCAGCCGAAUGUUCAAAUUUGCCGUGUAUUCUUUAAACCUUUCGGCUGUGAAGAUUGUUCCAUUGUCGGUUAUGAUUGUUGUUUCUGGUACACCGAACCGAGUCACAAUGUGUUCCUCCACGAAGUCGCAAACUUCUUUAGAUGUUAACUCGGCAUAUGAUUUUGCUUCGACCCACUUAGUAAAGUAAUCAGUUGCGACUAUUAUCCAUGCAUGCUUAGCAGCUCCAGAAGUCGGCGUGAUUUUGCCGAUUACGUCCAUGGCCCAUCCUCUAAACGGCCACGGCUUAAUGACCCGAAUGUUGUAGUGAUUCGGCCGGGACCCUUUGUAUAGGCCCAUGGAUUUGGCACUGCACGCAUCCUCGUGCAAACUCGAUACAAUCUUUCAGUAUUUUCGGCCAAAAAAUAGCCGUGUCGUCGGAGUAGCCAUCGCAUUUUCCGUCCAGAUUGGUGAGCUCCCGCAUACCCCUUCAUGAACCUCUGCGAUCGCCCGAGCACUCUCUUGGGGGCCGAGGCAUAGCAGUAACAAAACCAUCUUCGCCCUUUCGGUACAAACUCGUUCUGGUACGUGACAUAGUUCAUGGCGUGAACCCGUGUCCUGCGACUAUGUGUCCCGUUAGGAUUAUCAAGGUACUGCAUAAUGGGUUUCCUCCAAUCAUCUGGUAUAUAGCCCUCGGCCGCGCAAAUUUCUAUAGAGUCCUGCCGAUCCAACAACGAAGGCAAGGACAUGACCCUGGUGCGGAUCACAUUGUCUCGACGGAGGAUUUGCUGAUUAACCAAGGCCGGGUAUAGUUGUCGUAAUAUUGGUAUCUCCCGGCCUAGCUUGCCCCCCAUGAGUUGAGCACCGGAGGCGAUCUGAGCUAACUCGUCUGCGUCGGUAUUAUGAACCCGAGAAAUAUGCUCGAAUGUAAUACCGUCAAAAGACUCGGCCAAAUAGCUGGCGACCAUGUGGUAGGGCGCCAGAGUACAACUCAUGCAACGAAAAGACCCAUUAAUUUGGUUAAUCACGAGUUCAGAAUCACCGAGGACGAGGGCACGAGUGGCUCGAAGGUCAAGAAGGAGGCCAAGACCAAUGACAAGAGCCUCGUAUUCGGCCUGAUUUAUUGGUGCACUCGAAAUCCAGUUUGAGCGAAAAAUACCAGCGAUCGUUCGUGAUGAGAUGAGGAGAUUGAAUGACGAUGCCCACGCCGGCCGAAGACGAAGUACUGGAACCAUCAAAAUACAUCGUCCAAUAGUUGUCGCGGGUCACCACCAUGCCGAUUUCGACGUCAGCAUCCCCGAAAACCAUAAGGCGAAGGGUGCUGAGCAAGGAAAUCGGCCAACGCCUGUCCCUUCACAGCUUUCUGCGGCACGUACUGCAAACUAAAUUCGGACAACGCCAUUGUCCACUUCCCAAUUCGGCCUUUGACGAUUGGUCGGGUAAGCAUGUACCGGAUAACGUCGGUCUGGGCAAUGACUUGGGUGACCGACGGGAGCAUGUAAUGCCGGAGCUUGGAUGCGGCGAAAAAUACGGCGAGACACAGUUUUCUCGACGGCGGGAUAAUUGAUCUCUGGUUGAUUGAGAUUCCGGCUUAGAUAAAAUAUAGCCUGCUCUCGGCCGGCAUCAUUGUCUUGCGCGAGGAGGCAGCCGAUAGAUUCUUCGGCCGCCGAGAUAUAGAGCUUUCAGAGGUUUACCACGCCGAGGGGGAACUAUGACAGGGGGUUUCGUGAGGGAUACUUUGAUCUGUGUAAACGCCGCCUGAUGCUCGCCGUUCCACACGAAUUUAUCCGAGUCCUUGAGUUUCAAAAGCGUGGAGAACGCUUUCAUUUUACCGGCCGAGGUUAGCAAUAAAUCGGCGGAGGAAAUUGAUCUGGCCAAGCAAGGACUGGAGUUGUUUCUUCGUCGUCGUUGGGGUGGGGCAUCGACGAUUGCGCGUGCUUUAUUCGCAUCGACUUCAAUUCCACGGUGAUGCCGACGAGGAAACCAAGGAAAUUUCCGGCCGACACGCCGAAAGCACAUUUGGCAGGAUUCAUCUUGAGGUUGUGCUGACGCAUGCGGAGGAAAGCCUGUCGGAGGUCGUCCAGAUGUGUCCGUCGGCGUUUAGAUUUGAUGACAACGUCGUCGAUGUAAACUUCGACGAUGGUUCCGAUUAAGUCGUGGAAGAUGGUGUUCAUCGCUCGUUGGUAUGUGGCGCCGGCAUUUUUGAGGCCGAAUGGCAUAACAACCCACUCGUAAGUACCGAGUGCCCCCGGGCAACGGAAAGCAGUUUUAUGCACAUCGGCUUCGGCGAUGAAUAUUUGAUUGUACCCAGCAUGCCCAUCCAUAAAGGAUAACAUCUCAUGAUUCGCCGCGGCGUCGAUUAACAGGUUUGAAAUCGGCAUUGUAUACUCAUCUUUGGGAGUUGCCAGAUUCAGAUUUCUGAAAUCGAUGCAUAUGCGCAGUGCACCACUUUUCUUUAAAACAGGAACGAUAUUCGCCAACCAUUCAACAUAUCGAGCUGUCCGAAUAAACCCGGCUUUCAAAAGCCGAACCAGCUCGUCCUUGAUGCUGAGUUGCACUUCCGUCGAAAAUCGACGCGGUGGCUGACGGAAAGGUUUACAUCCGGGCUUAAUACGUAACUCAUGCUCGACAAGAGUACGAUCUAAGCCGGGCAUCUCAUGGUAGCUCCAAGCAAAGCAAUCUUUGAACUCCGUAAGCAAGGCACGAAGCUCAUCUUUCAUUUGUUGGGGAAGUAAAGCACUAAUAAACAAAGGCCGUGGGUCAUCGGCCGUCCCAACAUUAAUCUCUUCCAGGGGAUCCUUAACUUGGGGCCGAUGGUCUUCGAGCGCGGCCGGGGCGGCUUGAAUUUUAUCAAGAGACAAAACAGGACCAUUAUCUCCUUCGGCCAGGAACUCGACGAGGUUAACGCCCGAAUUUGGCUGUUUAGAAUAUAGUAUACCAAUGGGCCAGCAGUCGUUCCAUAGUAGAUGAAACCGCGGCCCUACGUGCUUCUCGAUCGGUGUCAGACAUCGGCCUCGGGGAGGAAAUUGGCUAAUCCGAGUCUCGCCGAAUCCUGGUGGACAGUCUCGGCGCCAACCUCGAUAGCUUUCUGUACAGAAAUCCGAGUCGGCCGGCCUUCAUCAUUGAAGCCUUGCAAAGUAAUGUAGCCGACGUGGUCAUCAUAAUACCGUGCUUGGAUCAUGUUAGUUUCAAAGGGCUGGUUAUCGGCUGGGUGAACAGUGACCGAUUUGCCGUCCCAAAAAACAAGCACUUGAUACAAUGAGGAAGGAAUACAACUGGUUUUGAUGAAUCCAAUCUCGACCGAGCAGUGCAUUAUACUCGGUUUUGGAAUCAACUACAAAAAAAGCGGUCAUGUGAGUGCGACCGGCAAUAGUCACAGUUAACGGAAGUACACCCUUGGUUUGCGAUUUGUCGCCGACGAAACUACUCAUUUGUGAUCCCUGACGGAAUAAGUUCGUCGUUCGAGCGACGCAAGGCCUUCAUGAUGUUCAGAGGCAGGAUAUUGACGGUCGCGCCACAGUCGACAAAAACUUUAGAAACGGGAUAUCCCUCGAUGUGGGCCGUCACAUACAAUGGCUUUAAAUGGUGGAGUGCGGCCGAUGACGAACGAGGAAAUAAUUCGGUCAAAGCGGCCUUCAGACUGUCAUCUUUCGUUGUUGACUCAUCUUCAGCAAUAGACACAAAAUCCACAUGGCCAGUUUCCUCGGCGACUACAUCACCAUCGAGGAAAUUCGGUUGAGCCGUGCUUGAUUGAAAAUCAGCAGGUAACACAUGGACCAUACUAAUUUCCAUGUUAUCCAAGACUGACGGGCCCAUCGGGUUGGGACCCUCCUCGCUAACCUCAUCCCUCGUUUGGUCGACGACUGCGGGCUCUGUUUUUGUCAGAGUUGGACAAAAAGACUCCUCUGUCCCUUCUUCGAGGGUUUUGAACCUGCGGUGCUGCUUCGGCAGCUUGUUGGUUCUGUGUGACCGCCGCAGGCGAGGUUGAGAUCGACAGUGUGCUUUGGGUCAGGACCUGCACCUGCUCUUGGUAGUAUAGCCGGGCAUCUCUGGUAUCGAGAUAAGCAUCCAGACGUGCAACACGUGCUACUUCAUCGGUCGUGAGACCGAAGAGAGAAACUGCCGAAAAUACUUCGAAGUGAUAUCGUAAAUACUGAAGAUCCUCCAUUGAGAAAGGAAGGUCGGCUGCAACGAUAUCAGUGUAUGGGUCGACUUCAAAUCCAAGGACACGGGCUUCUCGUAUGUGCUGGAACCUUGCCUUCAAUCCCGGGUCAGAGGUCUUCUGGAUGAUGCGCUCGGCGUCCGGACAAGUCAGGACUAGAUCAAUGGUGUCCUGGCAUGCUUUCGGCAAACCAUACAGAUCGUUGGCCGAAUGUUUCUUAUGGAAUUCGCGCAUAUAUUCUAAAGCCUCCCCAAGGAAUGGUGGAUGCAAAUUCCGUCGAAUUUUAAUCAACGGUUCUUGUAUAGCUGGCUGGGCUAAUUUGCUCUCGGCCUCUUGCCUGAAAUGCUCGAGGCGUGCCUUCAUCUCCCCUGGGCGAAGAAGAAGUUUGAUCCGUUUAUCGGCUUCUUCGAACGUGGUCUCGAUAUCUCGGUCGACCAACCGUUUCCCCUGACCCAACUCUGUCAUAAUAGCUGGAGAUGGUCGUUCAUCACCAGUAGCAACUGUGUCCUUCGGCCGCCAUUUAGGGGCCGAAGUUUCUUGGGCUGCCUGCCGACGGGCCAUGCAAUCUAUCCUCUGGUGCCGGCGUUUCUGGGAUUUGGACAACGCGGUGUAGACGCCUUUCGAAGAAUGAUAUGUGUACCAACGUUGAUCUUUAGGCUCGGGAGGUUUGAAGGUUUUUUGGCUCCGCGACGAUUCCGAACUACCAGAAUUACGUGUAUAAUAGUCCUCGUCAUAAAAUGAAGCGCCAAAAUCGAGCGCCGCCUGACUGAGGGUGUCUCUUCCAUCUUCACUUUUGGGCCGAGCCUAUCAAAAAACCCCUUGGUGUCGGCCGACGCCGGCUGCUUUUUGCUGAAUUGCGGCCGUAGGUCGUUCUGUGAUAGGCGAAGAUGGUUUCUCCUCUGGCUCACUGCCGACCUUCGCUCUACAUUUACUGCAAAAAACCGCCGUCCCACUAUCUUCAUCGGUGCUAUAAUCCCUCAUAGGUUUAACAAUAGCGGGUCCUGUUAAAGCUGUAGGUGGUUUGUUCGAACGAAAAUCGGCCAUGAAACGUGGCCGAGAAUUCUGAGUGCGAAAGUCUUGCGUCGCAACAACUUCGGCCUUCCCUUUUCCUUUGUCCUUAGGUAGGUAUGCAUUGACCAUAUUCACGGUUGCUGUGGGGAAAGGAUCAGCAUCAAUACUCAUCUUCUUCUCUGGAAAUUUCAGUUUUCCAUUAUCAAUCCAGCUCUGGACGUUGUCUCGAAAUACGACACAAUUGUUUGUCGUAUGUUUACUUGAAUUAUGGUAUUUGCAAUACACCUUUGUAAUAUCAAAAGUAUACGACACAAUUGUGACCAGGCCGAAGUUUGAUGAUCCUUGCUGACAACAGUUGAUCAAAAAUUGCGUCAGCCUUUGUAAUAUCAAAAGUAUACACUUUUGACGGUUUCAAUGUUCCUUCAGUGGCCGAGCGGCUUUUGACUUCCCUGGAGUCAACUUGAGUCAAGGCCUUGCAAACGUAUGGCUUAUCUAUUACUAUCUCAGCCGCAUCCACACUAACGCAUUCAUCCUCGGUUGACGCAUAACUGACGGUAGGAUUCUUGUAAAUCGUCCCCCGAGACGGAGUUUUCGAAAUCUUUUCCUCGCGGAGCAAAUAAUCAUACUGUUCGACAUGUUGGGCUAAUUCAUACAUAUCCCGAACAUUUGCCCCCAAGAAUUUCUUUUUGUAUUCGACGUCGAGGCCGUUCAAAGCAAGCCGGACGAACUCGACUUCGGGCAAGGGUACUCGGCACCAAUUCCUGGCUGAUUUGAACCUGGUAAGAUAAUCCAUCGGGGACUCAUCUGAUGCCUGAGCCAUCCUUGCUAAUGAAGAAACCGACACCUCCAACCCUGGUCGAUAAAACUGCUCGUGGAAUUUCUCGACCAACUCCUCCCAGUUUUGGAUGGAAUUAGGAGGGAGAUUGAUAUACCAAGCAAAUGCCGAGCCGGUCAACGAGAAGUUGAACAGCCGUAAUUUAUGGAAAUCACUAUGAACAUCGCCGCAUUGCGCGGUGAAACGAGCCACGUGCUCCAACGAAGACAAGGACGAUUCACCGGCAAAAAGGCUAAAAUCCGGAAUCUUGAAACCUUUCGGAUAUCCGAACGUUUCUAUGUAGGCCGGGUACGGAUGGAUAAACUUAGGAAACUUCGGCCCUUUCUUCAUGGCCGAGUCGAUCAUCCGCUGAACCUCGGUCAUAUCAACAGGUGUUGCUUCGACCCUCUGGUCGAUUCCGUCCGACCUACUAUUUGACCCUCCGACCUUUUCCAAGUCAAUUGGUUUGGGCCGAGCAGGAAUUGGCUCGGCCUGUACCAUUGGUAACGGAUUAUUUCUUGGUGGCAAGCGUUGGAAAGGAUCGAAAGGCCUGCCGUCACUGAAUUUACUAACCAGCAUUUCGAGCAGUCUGGUUUGCUGCUCAGUGGAAUUGAGUAUCACGUCAUGUAGCUUGUCAAUACCUCGGCUAAACGUCUGCUCAACUGACCGAGACUGCUCGUCGAGUCGCUUUCGAAGAAACGACCUUGUUGGUGGGUCAGAUCCUUCACCGCCAUCCUCGUCGCAAUCCUCCACUAUCCCUUCAUUGAGAACACAAGUGUUCCUGUUAGGGAUUUCUAGACUGCGGUGGUUGACCGCCGAGAUUAACUUCCCUUUCUCGGCGAGUCGCACUUGUGGACUCAGGUGUCCCCGGCGCUAAGGGGAUUCUGCGCCUGUGGCACACUUUGUCCUACGUUCUGAAUCGGUAAAUCGGCUGUUGAUUUUCCCAUAGCUGUUUUCUUUUUUACCGAUCGCGUUUCAAUUGGCAUGAACUUCGUAGUUUUAGCACUGGGUCCCACUGGGCGUGCCAAAAUGUUGACCCUAAAAUCUACCAAGCCUACGUGGCGCGCAGGCCGAGUAUAUUCUAAGCUAACUACGUCCUUCGGUGAUUGCGGGGCGUGCCAACUCGUCGGCCGAGGCUCGGCCGAGGAGUAAAUUUGAUGAUGUUGCGUUGGGUCGCGCUACUGACUUCUGCGUCUUGCGAUUGCGGCCGAGAAAGGAACACGUCUCGGCCUCUUGGGUUCUCGAGCCUGAAGACAAGGCUGCUAUUUCUUACAAAGUUCACGAACCGAAUUCGGCUUUCAAUGUGCCGAAUGUAAUAACUGUGACACCUCACCUCGCCGAGAAGGCUAAUGAGAUGACCUCGACCAACAAGGAUUCGAAAACCCUUCUCGACCGAGACUUGGAUAGGUAAUCGACCGUUCUCGCCGCAGUGCUGUUGAUGCCAACGGAAGAUACUGCGAGACCGACCAAUUCUACGGUGACAGAGCUAUCUAUGCCGACUUAAGAUAUCACCGGUUGCUUCCACAGUGCUGUUGAUGCCAACGGAAGAUGUUGUCAGCGAAAAAGGAAAAGAAAAAGAUCUCAAGUUGUGAGAGUUUGCGCAGGGCAAUUUUGUGUUGAUUUUGUCGGGCUGGUUCUGAUGCACAGCUUCCGCUAUUUAUAGCACUGGACCCCGAAUCUGAGAUAGAAUCCUAUUCGGACUAGGUUUUCCCUCUCCGGAUCAAUAUCACCUCGACCAGUCCUGUUUUUAUUAGGAUUGUGAACCUAGUCCUUAUUCGAGCCCUAUCCGCUUCUAGGUUGUUAAUCCUGCCGAGAAUCCCUAUUGUAUCAGGACUCGGCUUGUCAUUGCAUUUUGACCUAACCGGCCUAGGUUUGGAAGCCCAUAAGCUGAACGAUCCAUGGUCUUCUUGUCGCAAGGCCUUCCGGGCCGAGAAUGGUUCUACACUCGGCCCAAACUAUUAUUUUGGGCCCAAACAGUAAAAUAACUAAACACACAAAUUAAACCCUCUUGUUGACAAUUGUAGUAUAUGUAUAAGUAGGGAUCGUUCUUAAACCGGGGAUUAGGAGGGAUUGCUAAACAUUCUAAACUGACUCAAAUAGAUAAAACUAAGCUUUAAAACACUAAACUAGACUCAAAAGACUCAAAACAAACUCAAAAGACUCAAAACAAGCUAAAAACACUCAAAACUGCCUAAAAACACAAACUGUGCAGUUUUGAGCUCUAAACACAAUUUGGACGAAAUUUGGGUUUCUAAAGGCUCAAAACACUUAAAAACACAAUCUAAGACAAGUUCUAACUAAUAUGACUUAACAAAGUAAAGGGGGGUUUGGUUUUGGACGAAAAUAAGUAAAUUAAAGCAAGAACAAUUUAAACAGAUUCUUAAGCAAAUUUAGGUGAAUUGAUGAGAUAUGGGGUAACUAGAGGGUUCUUCUCCACACAUGACACACUUGCAUUCAAAUUGAUUUCCAAUUGCUUCUCUCAAUAAGUCAUGAAACUCAAUACUCCAGGUUAACUGUGACAGCACUUUUUUAACCUUCAAGUUCUCCUUAAGUUAAUGAAUUGGAUGGGAAAGCACAUACAACAAUUCAAGCAUUCUCUAAAAGUCCCCUACAUGAAAAGCAUAAUAAAGGUACAAUCAAAGAUCAUUAAGUUUCAUGAAAACUAUAAGCAUUGACAAGGCAAUUGUUACUAUGAAAAGCAUGAAACUUUUGCCAAGAAUUCACUUAACACGAUCGUUUAUAAGCGACCUCCACUACUUGCAAAUAUAAGUUUGUAACUAUUAGGUGAAACUCCCUUAUAUUUUAGCUUCAAAUCCUUGCAUGAAAACUAAGUGUGCACUCUUAAUAAACAUACAAGAAUAAGUUAUCAAUCAAACGGUUAAGCAAAUUGAAUUCACAACUUACGAAAUAACAAUUGAAGGUAAUCAAUUCAUAAUGCAAAUAUAAUCAUGGUUUUGAAUAGCCCCCUAGCCAAGAAGGGCUUAGUUCCUCAUGUCCACAAAACAAAGAUACAUAAAUUUAGACAUUAAAAACAAAGAAUGAAAACACCUAGAAACGCUCCAACAAACCAACGUCUUGAAUGGCAAGCACGUCCAAGGGUCUCCUUCCUUCUUUGUUGCGGCACAAGAGAUGGGUGAAGGUUUUUGUGGUGAUUUGUGGUGGUGGAUGGAUAUAGGUUGGUUAUGGUGAAGGGUGGAAUGCUUAAAAUGGUCAGAAAGGGGUCUUAUUUAUAGGGAAAGGAAGGGCUACGAAUUUAUUAAAUUUGGAAUCAGAAAUCAAUGGAAAACAGGCAAGAAAGGUGCAGGAAUUCAAGAGAAUAGGAAAGGAUAUUCGGAAGAGAGUGUAGGACAGAUUUAGGAAUGUGUUUUGAGGCACAAAAUAGGUAAGAAUCCUCUCCCCUUGUGCAGCAAGAAUUGAAACAAAAGGGAAUGCAAUUUUGGGUCAGAAAAUAGGUAAGAAAGGAGAGAAAGGUGCGGCAAUGCCUAGAGCUAAAGGGGAAUGUGAAUUAAAAUCAGAAAAUAGGAAAGGAGAGGAUCCCUUGUGCGGCAAGGAAAGGAAAAAAGCCUAGGGUGGUACGGCAAUAUCUAGGGCAGGUUCUAGGACUUCUAGAAAUAUGUAAUUAGGCAACCUAACAUGUUUUGAAACCCUUUUGUGGCUGGAACAUAGGUGAGGAAGGAUUAGGAAACUUCCAAGCCAAGAAUAGAAACUUUCAAGAAUGGAAACCUCCAAGAAUAGAAACUUUGGUUUCCAAUUCUGAACUCUUUGUUCUUCAUUUUCAUUUCUUCAUUUCAUUAUUCAUUCCUAGCCUCCUUUGAUCUUCAAUUUCGUCCAUCCACCUUGCUCCAAGCAUAAGCUAUCCAUUCCAUGCCCAAAAUUGCUCCAAAAUGCACAUGUUUGCAUACUUUGUCCUUAAAACCUGAAAUUGCACGAAAAUAGCUUAAAAUACUAAAAUUACUAAGUACUAGCAACGUAAAUGCAAGGAAACAAGCUAAUUAAGUCGCAUAAAUAUGCUCCUAUCAAGCGGGAAGAGGCACAAUGAAGUCACCACCGAGGAAAGUCGUGACCAAAAGGUACUACACAGUAUAAACUUGCUGCGGUCUUUUGCACAACCUCACAUGGUAAAAGUGAUGCACUGCAACAAGUCACAUGAAAGUUAAAACCCACCAGCCGUGUGUGUGCAUAUGUGUAUGUGUGUAUGUGUGUGUGUGUGUGUAUAUACACACACAAACGUACACGAAGAAAAAAAAAAUCACAGCAAGACCUGAACCUAUGGCAACAAGCGUAAUAAAUAAAGCGCAACGAGAAGUGAUUAGUGGUAGUCGUGGCACAGCCCAAGCACUCUACAACUUAAAGGAAAUUGGAUGGGGAUCAGAUACCUGUCUAAAGCCUUAUAGGAGGGUCUAUUUAUAUACGACUGGAUUCAAGAAACUUGAUUGACAUUGCAGAACAUAUGUAAUGCAACGAUGAUGCCUUUUCUUCCCUUUUGGGAAAGCAAAAGUUAUUUUAAUUAUUUUGUAAUUUGCUAAGUGCAAUUGGACGGAUAGAUGCAAUGCAAUGAUGAUGCCUUUUCUUCCCUUUUGGGAAAGCAAAAGUUAUUUUAAUUGUUUUGUAAUUUGCUAAGUGCAAUUGGAUGGAUAACAAAAAAAAGGAGGAGUCUUAGCACCAAAAGCAAGAGCAUGGAGACAGACAACAAGAUACAAUGCAAUGAUGAUGCCUUUUCUUCCCUUUUGAGAAAGAAAAAGUUAUUUUAAUUGUUUUGUAAUUUGCUGAGUGUAAUUGGACGGAUAACAAAAAAAGGAGUCUUAGCACCAAAAGCAAGAGCAUGGAGACAAACAACAAGAUACAAUGCAAUGAUGAUGCCUUUUCUUCCCUUUUGAGAAAGCAAAAGUUAUUUUAAUUGUUUUGUAAUUUGCUAAGUGCAAUUGGACGGAUAACAAAAAAAAAAAGAGUCUUAGCACCGAAAGCAAGAGCAUGGAGACAAACAACAAGAUGUAGUGUAAGCAACAGAGCAAAGAAGAGCGUGCACGGCAGAAGGAAGUUAUGGCCGUACUAUUUGGUUUAUGGCCAAUUUAUGGGAUCAACAUUGCUUGAAUAAAGCAAUUAGAUGAUCACAAUAUCACAAUAUGAGGAAACAGAUUCACACGUCCAAAAAAAAAACAACAAAAAAGAAGGGUAAAAUAAUAAAAAAAGGCAAUGAUGGCCAUCAUUACUUUGAAAGAUGGUGUCGUAUGAAAAUAUAUACAUAUAUAUAUAUAUAUAUAUAUAUAAUAAAGUAAAAAAAAUAAUAAUAAUAAAAAAAAAGAAAUACAUUGAAUGAAACGAAACUCAUUUAUUGAUUUCUCUAAAAAUUUACAUAAAUGUACAUUUUACAUGAGUCAAAAAAAAAAAAAAAAAAAAAAAAAAGGAGCCUUCACAAAGGUUAAUAGGGUGGCGCCUCAUCAUUUGGCGGAACUCUAGGAAGAAGAGGUGCCGGAGGUUGAUUGUUUGGAGCCUCAACACUCGGUAAAACUUUAGAGGAUGAAGGCAAUAGGUGCCUUUGGAGUAAAGCCACAAACAUCUGAUGGUCAAUUUGAAUCCGACUUUUGGAUUCCUGAAGUUGGUCAAGCUUUCUCUUCAUGCUUGUCGAGUAACUAUUGGCAAGUAUGUGCAACUUUCUGUUUUCUGCUUAAGCCUUCUAAUCUCUUGCUUAAGACUCGCCACCUCAGCCCUCAGUGACUCAACUUGACAAGUUCGAGCAAGAAGGCGUUGGCCCAUAUUUGAUACGGAGCUCGCACACUGAACAUUGAAAGCCCAAGAGUCCUGAACAACCAGCUCAUCAGACCGCCUAGAAAGGAUCCUGUUGUCCUUGGGGUUGAAAAGAUUUCUAGCUACCACCGUAGCGGUUAUGUCAUUCUUCAUCACAAAGUCCCCAACUGUAAGAGGACCGGUGGCGGAUAAGAGGGGUGCCAUACGUUGUCUGGAGAAGACAUAUCAAAAUCUUCCCCAACAUUCAAAUCAAGACGACGAUCAGAUGGGCAAGCCAUUUGCAAAAAAAUGAUGAAGGAAGAAGAGGUCAGGUAAAUCGAAUUCUUAGAAAUACAUAAAAAAAAGGAAAUUCCUAGAUGCGGCAACUCUCUAAGUGUGUUUUCGAACACGAUUAAUGCCUCUAUAAAAAAAAAAAGAGGCAACAUGGUCGUUUAGAGAUCGAAGAGGCAUUGCUUUCCUAAUUUCAAAAGGACCGGCUUUUCAGGAUUUGUCAGCACCUUUCACACGUAACCUCAGCUUUGCAGAAAGCAUGGGUAACUUUAUCAAAGAUUUCUGACAAAGUCGAAAACGCGUGAAUCUUACUGUUUCAAUUACCCAACGGUUGUCGACAAGAGUAAAAGAAUAGUACCACUACUGGCUAUUGGGAAAUUCCUAUAUAUGUCGACCUUCAUCCUCCAUAGCAAAGCAAACCUGCAAAAAUGCCCAACUCUUCCUCACCUCCGAGAGUACAUUCCCAGCAGAACCUUUCAAAAUACUCAGUUUUCUUCCUCUUCGGGAAUACCUCUGCAAACAAAUGACACCAAAGCAAGAGUAUCUCAUAUCAUCAGGGUAGAAAGCAAGAGUAUCUCAUAUCAUGUUUUUUCCCUGUCUUUUCCUUUACCCUUUCUUUUACUUGCAAGACAAGGAGAAAUAAGGCAAUAAGUCAGAACCUCAAAUCAAAUUUUCGAUCUGGAACUGAUUGCCUGGAACCUUUGCCUGUUUGCUUAACUUGCAUUGCUCUCGAGUAUUCAUCAUCACUGAGAAGUAAUGCUCUGAAGGACCAUUUAAAUGCAAAGGUUGCAUUCCACUCCUGCAUCGGGGGUAAAUACUGCAAGAGAUCGAAGCAGAAGGAUCAAUGAUAAGACGGAGCCCAUCGGGGGAAAAUACUGCAAGAGAUUGAAGCAGAAGGAUCAAUGAUGAGCCAGAAUAAAUCACUAUAUCAAGAUGCCAUUCCCUGCAAAACCGCAUAACCCAGAUGGUAGAGUCUAAAUCAAAUCCAAGCUCAGCAUUGUUGCCCUAAUCAAAGAGCUCGAGAAGCUUCAAUAGCUUUUCACUAGCACCAUCGCCGAAGAGCAAAGCCUCGCUGUCCAACGCUGUCAAAUCACCAUCACUCAUUCGAAAGCAAGAGUAUCUCAUAUCAUGCUUUCUCCCUGUCCUUUUCUUUGUCCUUGUUCUUACUUGCAGGACAAUAAGAAAGAGAGCAAUCAGUCGGAACUUGAAGUUAAACUCUUAGUCAGGAACUGACUGCCUGGAAACCUUCCCUGAUUGCUUACCUAGCAUCGCUCUGCCAGGGAAAUAGACAAGGCAGCAGAAGAUACCACAUCUGCCUGAAGAACAGAUAAGGCAAGUGAAAAUGAUACAUUGAAGCAUGUGGAAACAAGCACAGCAAAACACGUGCCGAUUCAUCUGCUACUUCUUCAAAAGUAAAAAUAUCUCUUAUCAUCAAGGUUGCAAGUACUCUAGAUUUGACGGACUUGUUUCGACCCUCAUAUUCUUGAGUCGACUCACUAGGCAUUGUAAGCUGCACGUGCAGAUUCACCACCCUUGAAUCAAAUCCUCAAAGAUCAAGUCACCAACUUGAAGAAAUCACGUCUGAUUCAAGAUCAAGUAUCCACCCUCCUUGAACCAAAUUCAGCUCUAGAUAAAGGGAGUAAAUCUAGACAUUUUGAUGCAAGUCUACCAGAAGAAACCCCUAGUUCAGUUCAAGAAUAAGCCUGUGGAAAGUCAACAAUUGGAGGAAACCAGAAAAUCCUCCAACUCAGUUCAAGAUCAAAGCUAUGGAAAGUCAACAAACGCAACAAAAUAUGUACCGAUUCAUCCACUACCAAAGCCAAAGAUCACCUACAAUGUGAAGCUUCUUGUGGUCCAAUUUAAUUCAAGAUUAAGCCUCGACGGCCCUUGAAGAAAUUUCAAACAAAGUUCAAGAACAAGCCUCAACGGGCCUUGAAGAAAUCUCCAGCCCAAUUUAAGAUCAAGUCUCGAUGGCCCUUAGAUCAACAUCUACAUUAAGGGACUUCAAAACGCAUCUCCUACACGUGACAAGCACAUGUACAUAACGCACCUUAAAGUGGGGGCAUUUGUAGACAUUGAAAUUUGGGUGAAAUAAAUGUUGACCAAUAAUUACAAUUUCAACGCUCAUGCGUCACAUAAAUUUUUACACGUAGCGUGUGACGAAACGAAAAAUCAAAUAAAUCGGAAAAGUCAUCAAAUAAGGACAUGUGUCAACACUUGGCAUAAAUGAUUUAUUUCAUCAGAAUAUUAUAUUCAAAAUUAGGCCUUGAAAAAUUUCUAUAAAUACAAGGCCAUUUCAUUCAUUUUAGGACACCAAUUCAUAACCAAUUCACAUCACACCAAAACCUUGAAGCUUUGAAACCCUAAAGCUCCCAAGCUAAUCCCGAAGGAUCAAGAAAGCUCUCUUCGUUCUUCGUCAAAUCCUCUUUCAAGAUCAAGCCCCAACGGCCCUUGAAGAACUUUCACCAAUUCAAGAUCAAGCCCAGAUGGCCCUUGAAGAAAGUGUUCAUCGUUCAUCGUCCGUUCAUCGUCUGUUCAUCCUAAGAUCAAGCCCCAACGACCCUUUGGAUCAAUAACAUCAACAAAUCCACACAUCCAACCGUUAUUCAAGAUCAAGUCUAAAAGCCCUUGAAGAUCCGUUCACCCAUCAACCUUCAAGAUUAAGCACAAAAGCCCUUGAAGAAAUCCACACAACCGUUCUUCAAAAUCAAGCCCAAAAGCCCCUUGAAGAUCCAUUCGUCAACCUUCAAGAUCAAGCCCUAACGGCCCUCGGAUUAAUAGCACAAUCCAUAAAUUUACACAUUACGAAGAUCGAAUCAGGGGCUAAAUUUGUUGUAACCCCUAAAUCAUUAAUACAAAUAUUAUUUUGUACACGUGUUCUUGUCUCAUUCAUUGCAGAAAUAUUCGUGUUUACAAUGAUGGGCCAACGUAGACCAUGUAGUCACAGGUCAGGAGUCCAACCAUGGAAAAUAGCAGAAGCAUCUGUCUAGAAGCAUUUCGAUGUGGGAAGAAAUACCCUUUCCAUUUGUCCAAGUAAAAGGAGAGCCUUUGGUGUCAACUAGAAUUAGAUUACAGGUGUUAACCAUUGCUUGAAAUUCUGCACAAGCACCAUGGCGAGGGAGAGUUCCACUCAUCUUCUCAUAAGCAUAAAAAACCACGUUGAAGUCACACAAAACUAAAUGAGGACUAGAGAAAAUAGAACAAUCAUGUGCCAAAGACAACCACAAUGGUCUCCUUUCCACCACAGUAUUUGCCACAUAAACAAAAGAAAGACCAUUAAGAAUACCAUUAUUCAAAAAUUGAAUGAAAAUAUUGUUCGAAUUAAUGCACUACCUUAAAUGGUUAGACUCUAGACAUUUUUUCUAGGGGCUAAAGCUUCUCCAGAAGAAAAGCAUGGUGAAAGGGUUACCGAAAAUUGAAGCAACAACUGAUGCUUGUGAAGGGUGCGUCAUGGGCAAGCAGCACCGUAAUUCAUUCCUAAGUCAAUGCACGUGGAGAGCAAAGGCACCGCUGGAACUUAUGCAUACCGAUAUUUGUGGAAAAAUGCCAACUCCUUCCUUAAGCCAGCACAGGUACUUUCUCACAUUCAUUGAUGAUUUUUCGAGGAUGACAUGGGUUUACUUUUUGAAGGAGAAAUCAUAAACUUUCACUAUCUUCAAAUAAUUCAAAGCUUUAGUAGAAAAACAAAGUGGUUGCAGCAUCAAAAUCAUUCGAAGUGACCGAGGAGGCGAAUAUACCUCUCAUGAAUUUGAAGACUACUGCAAAGAUAAAGGCAUUUGGAAGCAAUUGACAGCAGGGUAUAGUCCCCAGCAAAAUGGGAUUACCGAAAGAAAGAACCGAAUUAUCGUGGAGAUGGCUAGAUCCAUGAUGAAUGAGAAAGGGCUACCGAAACAUUUUUUGGGUAGAAGCUGUGUAUACAGCAGUAUACAUUCUUAAUAGAUGCCCAACCAAAAUCUUAAAGAAAAAAACUCCAUUUGAAGCUUGGAGCGAAUUCAAACCUUCGGUGAGUCAUUUCAAAAUUUUUGGAUGCAUUUGUUAUGCUCAUAUUCCCACUGAAAAGAGAACUAAGCUUGAUGAAAAAAGGCCAAAAAUGUAUCUUUCUUGGCUAUUGUUCCAGCACCAAAAGUUAUUGGCUUUAUAAUGUUGAAACUAAGAAAUUGAUUGUGAGUAGAGAUGUGAUUUUUAAUGAACAAGCUAGCUGUGAUUUGAAUGAAAAUAAAGUGUAGGAGAUGCCAUAUGCAAUUGUGCAAGAAGAAGGUGAAAUUCCAAGAGAGUAGCAGCAAGAAGAAGUCACGCCUCAGACUCCAGUGGUUGUCGGAAGAAGAAGUUCAAUUGAAGCUGGAAGCAAUUCGAAUGCAGAAUCUAUUUCUCCGAACUACUCUUCAUUAGAAAGUCCUCCAUUAAGAACUUGAAGUUUGUGAGAAGUGUAUGAGACUUGCAAUUUUGUUGGUGUAGAGCCAAAAAGCUUCGAAGAGGCACAAAAUCAUGAAAUAUGGGUGAAAGCCAUCAAUGAGGAGAUGAGAAUGAUCGAGAAAAAUCAAACAUGGGGGCUGGUUGAUUAUUGAUAGCGAUUUUACCACUUGUAAAACAAAGGGUUAAACCAUAGAAAAUUAUGUUAAGAGAACAAGUGGUGUAGUAUAGAAUGGCUCAAGCAAGGUCGAUCUCCUCAGGGACUGGUAUAAACAAUUUAUGAGCUUUUGUGUAUUUAACUUAGUUAACUCUAAGAACUACACUAAUUCAACAAAACUAAAUACUAUUGUAGUGACUUAAACAAACAUUUAAAAAGGGAAAUGGCUUAUAGAAAUAAUGAUUCAACUAAACAAAACAAGUAAAUGAGGAAAUUCAAGAUAAAAUAAAUGAUUGAAGAAAAAUAGAUUGACAAUAUGCUAGAGUUCAACCUUUACCAACAACACUCCUACGUAGCUCUUCCAAUUGCUUAAGUAUAUGCUUUGAAGGUUGAGUUUUCCUUGUGUGUGUUUUACUUGUGACAUUCAAGUUAAAAUGCAUACCACUACAUGCAAUUUAUCCAUGACAUUUGGAUUAAAUAUAAACAUGAAUGAUUCAUUAAUCUUGAUAAAAAUCCUUUUGUUAAGCCAUGUAAUCCCUAAGAGUAUGAUAUUUACCUUAGGAGAAAUUACAAUCCUCAAUCACAAGAAGCAUAACCAAUUUUAACGUGACAUUCGUUCAAAAUUGCAUCCAAUGACUUUUCUAAGCAUCCUAAUGGUGAUCAAUCAUCAAGACACAUAGAUAGUUUAAUUUAGAGAUUGAAAAUAUAAAAGCAAGCAUGUAACAACACUUAAGCAAUUGAAAGAGAAAUCUACAUAAUCAUGUUACGGCUCAUGGCCUCACUCUAGCGAAAAGAAAUUAGUUACACAUAAUUAUUUGAAUACAUAAGAAAUUAUCCAUGAAGAAUCAAAGAAAGAGACAACCCUUUUUUACAAGGAGUUUAUCUCCUGAUGCUCUCUGAUCCUCCUUCCAUGUGGAGCUGCGGCUCCCUUAUUUUUCUGCUAUGUUGCUCUCUGCAAAUCUGUUCGUUCCUCUUCUUCUUCUCUGCUAUCCUUUCUUUUACUCUCUGCCGUGUGCCUUAAACAAAGGGCAAUGAUUUUUCAAAGCACCAAGGCCACAAGUGGAAGACAAGCCUCAUCCCACUUCCUAGUGCUCCACUUUAUCCUCACUCCCCCACUUUGCUUUCUAAUUUCUUUUUCAAACACCGCCCAUGGAGACAAGCUCUACUUCCAAUUCUUUUGUUUGUUUUUAUUAUUUCCUUUCUCCUUUUUGCUUGAAAUUGAUCCUAAAGCAAAUUUAACUGCACACUAACACAAGGUAAGGUAAAAUGCAACCAUUUUAACACAAAAACAUCACAAAGACUUUAGAAAUGGAUGGUAUAAAUGCAUGAAAUAUAUGAGUGAUCAAUUAUCCACAAGAUAGAGAUAUCGUGGACGAGAAGUGGAUUUUCAAGACGAAAUUCAAUCAAGAUGGGAGCAUUCAAAAGCACAAAGCUAGGCUCGUGGCAAGAGGCUUUACUCAAAAGCCAGGUAUUGACUUUUCUGAGACCUUUGCUCCAGUUGCACGGUUGGAAACUAUUAGAACUUUGAUUGUUGUUGUUGCUCAAAAGAAUUGGUUGAUUUAUCAACUUGAUGUGAAGUGUGCAUUUUUUAAUGGAGUGUUGGAAGAAGAAGUUUACGUUAAACAACCCUCAGGUUUCAUGCUUGAAAGGGGAGAAGACAAAGUUUACAAGCUAAAAAAGGCCCUUUACGGGUUAAAGCAAGCACCUCAAACGUGGUAUGCUAAAAUUGAUAAGUAUUUUGUCAAGCGUGGUUUCGAAAAGAGCCAAAGUGAGCCUACGCUCCAUGUUUUAAAGAGAUGAGCUUCCAUUCUCAUUGUUUCCUUAUAUGCGGAUGACUUAGUCUUCACUGGAAAUGAUCAAAGUUUGUUACAGUAGUUCAAGAAAGAUAUGACGAGCACCUAUGAGAUGAGUGAUCUGGGUUUGCUUCAUUAUUUCUUGGGAAUUGAAGUUUCUAAACCAAAAAUGGGAUAUUUACUUCUCAAAAAAACUAUGCAAAAAAUCUGCUCAAGAAGUUCAAUUUGUCUAAUUGCAAAACAGUGGCUACUCCUUUGAUGCUGAAUGAAAAGAUGAAGAAAUGUGAUGGUGCAAAGAAAGCAGAUGCCACAAAGUAUCAAAGUUUGAUCGAUAGUCUUUUAUAUCUCACUGCCACUAGGCCGAAUAUCAUGUUUGCUUCAAGAUGCUUUCAAGUAUGCUCUAAGUCAACUUCACUUUGGUGCCAGAAAAAGGGUGUUAAGAUAUGUGCAAGGCACGCUUGACUAUGGAAUUAUGUACAAGGCUGAAGCACGAAGUUCAAGGCUUAUCAGGUACAUCGAUAGUGAUUGGGUUGGAUGUCUUGAUGAUAUGAAAAGUACGUCGGCCUACGUUUUCUCUCUUGGCUCAGGGAUAUGUUCUUGGCGUACGAAGAAACAAUGUGUGGUCGUACAAUCAUCUGCCGAAGCAGAGUACAUGGCAGCAGCAAAAGCAGCAUCUCAAGCCGUAUGGCUUCGAAGAAUUCUUGAAGAUAUCGGAGAAAAGCAAAAAGAAGGCACUGUAUUUUACUGUGACAACAAAUCAGCCAUUUUAAUUGGAAAAAAUCCAAUCAAUCAUGAUCCUACCAAGCACAUUGUAGUCAAAUAUCAUUUUUUCAGAGAAGCUAUUGAGAAGAAAGAAAUUCAGCUUGAAUAUUGCUGAACAGAUGACCAACUAGCAAACUUACUCACCAAGGCACUUCUAAAAGAAAAGUUUUGCUACCUCAGAGAGCUCAUUGGAGUUGUGAAGAAAGUGCAUUAAGAGGGAGUGUUGGAAUUAAUGCACUACCGCUAAAUGUUAAGACUCUAGACAUUUCCAAGAACAAUUAUUCAUGCACUACCCUAUAUGAUUAGACUCUAGACAUUCCCAAGAACAAUUAUUCUAGAGUCCUUGUUCCCAAUCUAUGUCUGUUAAGUUAUCUAGGAAGAACUCUCUAGUACUUUGUAUUCACUAUAUAUAUAGCCUUUGGCAUAUCAUUUUGAAUCAAGAGAGUUACAAUAAGAAGUAAUACAACAGCUUUGUUGUAACAACUUAGAUUUCCCAUAAACUUGUUAAGUAUUUCCAUCCCUCUACACUUCCUACAAAUAUAUUGGUUAGAAACUGAAACCACAGUAGGAGAAGAAACAUUAAUUGAACAAAAAACCCAUAAACUUGAAAGGCGAGACACACGAUGGUUGACACCCACCAAAUGCAUACCAAUAGAAUGUCAAUAAGUCUGUUUGAUUCAUGAAAAAGAAGUCAUUGGUUCAGCCAAACAAAGAAAAUCUGGAGAGUACUUCCGAAUGAUACUAUGUAAAUUUCUACGUGUAGGGCGAUUAGCAACACCCCGAAUAUUCCAGUAAAUAGCUUUCAUGAGGAAGGACGUAAAAAAGCAGACCUAGCCCUUGUCUCUAUGGGCUCUGGACGCAAAUCACUAUCAUGUGUCUUCUUUCGCAUACGCCUCUUUUGGGACUUAGAAAGAACCGGGGUCAUUCCAAUCAUAGCAUCAAUAUUUACAAUAACAUCAGCUGGUUCAACACCUAAAUCAGAUUGAGCCAUAUCAUACUAAGAGGAAACACGACGUGCCUCAUCCUCAACCAUUGGACUUAACAAAAUCUCACCAAGAUCAGUCUCAUUCCGAUGUUCAAAGCCAGGAGGAGGGCCAGAAAAGUCAACCUCAGUACUCCCAUCAUCGCUGACAUUAGUGGAUGCCCAUCACUAUUAUUGUGCAUCCCUAUAGAAUUAAUUCUAGGUGCUGAACUAUUCCCAAAACCUCAUUUUCAUGGCUAAUAAAACCAACAGCAGCAGCGUGAAUAUCUGAAGCUUCUAUGAUACUAUUAAAAGGUCAAUACUUAGGACGGGGAAGAGCACUAAUCCCAUUGGAAGCAGCAGGAAUCAUUGGACCACCAUCAAUAUUUUGUUGAGUGGUCCCUAUAGCUUUUGUAGCAUCAUUAACUCUAUUCAUAGGAUGAUACUCACAAUGAGUAGGAGUCUUGCUAAGAGAACGGCCUUGGGUUUGAUUUUGUUUUUGGAGUUGAUGACAUUGAGAAGCAUCAUGGCUAAUCAAACUAUAAUGCCCACAUUUAGAAGGGAGGUUUUCAUAAACAAUUUCAACAGGUAAGCCGUGAUUUUCUCGCUCAACCAUGAUCGAAGCAGGUAACUCACCAGAGAGAUCAACAUCAACCAAAAUUCGAGCAUAGUACCUAUACAGAUGUUCACGAGUGGCCUUGUCGAACUGCAGGGGGUAUCAAUGCCACGAGCAAUUACCAUUAAAUGGCGUGGGUGCCAAUACUCUUGGCUUAAACCAUAUAUUUUAACCCAAACCUGGGCAUGUGAUUAUGGGAGCACAUUACCAGGUUUAAAAUCUGGUUGCCAAUGCCAUUGAGAUAGACGAAAAAUUCCUUGUGCUAACGUACAAGUGCCUCCACCCCAAAAUGCGUCUCAUGUUGUCUUCAGUAGAAAAAUGAAAAUCAUAAUAACCUUUGCCUAUUGGAACAAGCCGCCAUGGCAUGUUAAGAGACCACAAUGAGACAAGAGAUGCUUUGAGAUCAGCCGUCUUCAUUGGUACGGUGCCCUUCUUCAAUAGCAAGCUGCCCAAAAGAUUGGUGCGGCAUGAUUUGAUUUGUUCCUGAUAGAUAUCUUCCCUGAUCUUAACAUAGGUAUAAUCUCCUCUAAUCGUUGGAGUUAGUAAUUGGCUAAGCGUGACAGAAUUUUCUAAACCAUCAGUCAAAAUCACAGCGAAGGUUUUGGGUUUAGGAACUGAAACAUGGGUGAUGGGAGCAGGAAUUGGAGAAUUAGAAUCAACGAAAAACCAUGGGCAUACAACAGGAGGGGAUGAGACACCCAUGGGCGCCGCCCCAGAGAUCCGUCGACAUCAAUUUCGUGCCUAUGUCCUCAUAGUCAUGCAAGAAGAAUCAAAAUCUUAAAAACAAAAUAAUAAGUUUAAACAAAAAUAUAAAGAACGUAAAACAGACUGCCUUUAACAUUUGAAGAAUGUUUAUGUUUUGUUGGGACCAAAUUAAAUCACAGGUAAACACACUUCUUCUGCAGAGACUAAAUGAAUCAUUAUGUAUGAGCUGUGCUGUGACCCCUCUAGUCUAAAUUGGUAAGAUAGCAUUCUGGGGCAAAUCCUUGAGGAAAUUGCUUUACGUCUGUGCAGUAAUUGUAGAUCAUAUAAUUCUUUUGCACCCAUUGCAUCCACCCUUGAUCCGCAAUGUUAAGAUUCUUCCAAUACCAUGCUCCUUUAUUUGAAUUUGAGUCGCAAGAAGAAGUGCCAUAAGACCAGACGCAAGCAUUGAAGUUCAUGUAGGAGGCAGUGAAUGGCGACUGUGUCCAAUCUAUCUUUACAAGUCCACCUCUUGUGGCCCAGUUAUCAGCAUUCCAGAGACUGGAGUAUAAUCUCAUAGCUUGGUUUUUGGGGAAUGGAGUACCAAAUGACUCCUGGUUCUUGAACUGUUGGAAGUUCAUCAACCAAGAAUCUACAUAUACACGCACCAGUGUUAUAGCACAUUAUUUCUUACAAGGCUAUGUAAUUAGUGAUAAGAUAAUCAAUACAUAGGACUUGAGGUUCCUGAUCGAAUUAAGAAUAGAGAUAUCACAUAUGAUUUGUUGACAUUAAUGUUGGAAUUUAGGAUUAUUUUAUUGUUUGAAUUUGGGCUUAGCCCGUUAGUAUUAGGGUUUCGUUUUCUUGCUUAUUAGGGUUAUGUUAGUUCUCUAUAUAUAUGAUGUUUUGUAGCUUGUAGAAUUACAAGUUAGUCACAAUGUAGCCUUCUAGGGUUUUGUAGCCGUUUCGGCAUUCUCGUUAGUUUAAUAAUAUUCCUAUUAUUUUGUAGUCUUGUUUGUUGCACACUCUGAUAUUUAACUUGGUAUCAGAGCAGGUUUGAUCCUUCGGGAUUUAAUAUGCCCUUGAUUCGUAUUAGUUUGUUUGUUCGUCUUGUUCAUUGUUUAGAUAGUCGUUGGUUUAGUUUGAAAAAUAUAUAUAUAUAUAUAUAUAUAUAUAUAUAAUGUCAUUGCCCAGAAACCGCUCAGGUUUCACUUGCUCCUGCAUUUGCACCAGCUCGAACCACCGCCUACCAUUGAUCAACACUGCCGCACCACCACCAACUCACUGCAAAUACAAACUAGUUUGCUGCCAACCUUCCCACUUCGUUGCACCAAUGCUUAACUGUCCAAUGCAACCCACCUAUUGCCUGCAUCCGUUGCCCCACCACCGUUGCUGCUCGACCCUAUACUCCGCUUUCAUCUUGAACCCACUGAACCACCGCGGCAACAGAAACCCAUCGCCACUGCACUCGCAUCAACCCUAUCUGCACAAUGCCGCUGCAACCAAAAACCUAGCACAUCUGCUGUCUGAAUGGAUUGUUCAUUUGUUCGCUUCAAUCGUUUGCCUUGUCAUGUCCGCCUAACAGAGCUUGCCUUGUCAUGUCCGCCUAACGGAGCUUGUCUUGUCUUGUCCGCCUAACGGAUCUUGCAUCCACAUCUUCUUGUUGCAAACUCUUGCCGUGUACCGCCAUGAGUUUGACAGGAGGUGUUGGAAUUUAGGAUUAUUUUAUUGUUUGAAUUUGGGCUUAACCCGUUAGUAUUAGGGUUUCGUUUUCUUGCUUAUUAGGGUUAGGUUAGUUCUCUAUAUAUAUGAUGAUUUGUAGCUCGUAGAAUAACAAGUUAGUCACAAUGUAGCCUUCUAGGUUUUGUAGCCAUUUCGGCAUCCUCGUUAGUUUAAUAAUAUUCCUAUUAUUUUAUAGUCUUUUUCGUUGCGCACUCUAAUAUUCAACUACUAAUUGAUCAUAACAUUUACCACGUUGGUGGCAUGUACUUAACAAUUUGAUCAUAAUAAUUUUUCUUUCUAUAAAUUAAAAAGUUAACUCCGCCUGUGUAAGUUUAUCUUACAUUGCUGGUCCCAAGCCCGGAUAAAGGAGGAGGGGGAGGGCGUCAGGUAGUCGACAGCCGGCACUCCAUGGAUACGUCGAAUCCUUAUGAAAAUGAAUCCAGAACGAAAUCGCGCUAAAGCUAGGGCAUCACUCGUAAGUGGCGCGCUGUGUGGCCCUAGCACAGUGAUAAGUGAGCAAGGGUCGCUGUAUCUCCAUCGGCACUCGGAUGCAGUGUUAAAUGAGCAAGGGGGCCAUAUAAACUUCUUUUCGAACGACUCCACUCAAAGUUGUUUGGGAGCAUAUGCUCCUAUCAACUUUACACGGGACACACAAAAGAAGUACUUUGAUCCUAUUAGACGGGGAAGGGUGAAGAAGCUAGGACAGAAGGGUAGAGUUCAAGAGAGCAGAAUGCGUUUAGGAAUGUGGAAUAUAGGAACCUUAACGGGAAAAUCUAUGGAAGUAGUGGAAGUUAUGGUGAGGAGAAGGAUAAAUAUUAUGUGCCUACAAGAAACUAAGUGGGUUGGUCGUAAGGCAAAGGUUCUAGAAAACUCAGGGUUUAAACUUAGGUAUUCGGGCACAAAUAGAACGAGAAACGGUGUUGGCAUCAUCGUGGACAAGACCUUAACACAAGAUGUUGUAGAUGUCAAGAGGGUAGGAGAUAGAAUCAUGGCAAUCAAGAUUGUAAUAGGACACGAACUUAUCAAUGUGAUUAGUGCGUACGCACCUCACGUAGGGUUGGAUACGAGUUCGAAGGAGAAAUUUUGGGAAAACCUUGGAGACUUGGUGCAAGGAAUUGCUUAGACGGAGAAGUUAUUUAUAGGAGGAGAUUUAAAUGGACACGUGGGCAGGGAGACAGGCAACUAUGGAGGUUUUCAUGGUGGCCAUGGUUUUGG